rnacentral:lncRNA from 1 species
CGACGCCCGCCGCCUGUUCGACCGAAUGCCCCACAAGAACCUCGUCUCCUGGGGCUCCGCAAUCUCCAUGCACGCGCAGCACGGGUGCGAGGAAGACGCGGUGGCACUCUUCGCGGCCUUCCAGAGAGCCUCCGGCGGUGAGGCGCCCAACGAGUUCUUGCUCGCUAGCGCCCUGAGGGCCUGUGCACAGUCGAGGGCGGUUUCGUUCGGCCAGCAGGUGCAUGGCGUUGCUGUGAGGAUUGGUCUGGAUGGGAAUGUCUAUGUUGGGACUGCGUUGAUCAACUUGUAUGCGAAGGUUGGCUGCAUUGAUGCGGCCAUGUUGGUCUUUGAUGCGCUCCCGGUGAAGAACCCGGUUACUUGGACUGCGGUGAUCACGGGCUACUCUCAGAUCGGGCAGGGUGGAGUUGCAUUGGAGUUGUUUGGGAAGAUGGGGCUUGACGGUGUAAGGCCUGACAGGUUUGUGCUCGCAAGUGCUGUUAGCGCUUGCUCUGCACUGGGCUUUCUAGAAGGUGGCAGGCAAACACAUGGUUAUGCAUAUCGAAUUGCAGUGGAAACGGAUGCGUCUGUGAUCAAUGCGCUGAUCGAUCUGUAUUGCAAGUGCUCCAGGCUCUCAUUGGCCCGCAAGCUGUUUGAUUGCAUGGAGAACCGUAAUCUUGUGUCUUGGACAACAAUGAUCGCUGGAUAUAUGCAGAAUUCGUGCGAUGCUGAAGCCAUGGCCAUGUUCUGGCAGCUGAGCCAGGAAGGGUGGCAGCCUGAUGUUUUUGCUUGCGCAAGUAUAUUGAACUCGUGUGGCUCUUUGGCAGCGAUAUGGCAAGGAAGGCAGGUACAUGCUCAUGCCAUAAAGGCUAAUCUAGAGUCUGAUGAGUAUGUCAAGAAUUCUCUCAUUGACAUGUAUGCUAAAUGUGAGCAUUUAACUGAAGCAAGAGCAGUGUUUGAAGCCUUGGCAGAAGAUGAUGCAAUUUCUUACAAUGCAAUGAUUGAAGGAUAUUCAAGGCUAGGUGAUCUUGCAGGAGCAAUUGAUGUAUUCAGUAAAAUGAGAUAUUGCUCUCUAAAGCCAAGUCCACUGACAUUUGUUUCACUCCUUGGGGUGUCGUCGUCUCAGUCAGCCAUUGAACUGAGCAAGCAGAUUCAUGGUCUCAUUGUCAAAUCAGGAACUUCAUUGGACCUAUAUGCAGGGAGUUCUCUAAUCGAUGUCUAUUCGAAGUUUUCCCUUGUGGAGGAUGCCAAAGCUGUAUUCAAUCUGAUGCACAACAGGGACAUGGUAAUAUGGAAUGCCAUGAUUUUUGGUCUUGCACAGAAUGAGCAAGGGGAAGAGGCUGUAAAGCUCUUCAAUCAGCUUCAAGUCUCUGGAUUAGCACCUAAUGAGUUCACAUUUGUUGCACUAGUGACUGUGGCAAGUACCCUGGUAAGCAUGUUUCAUGGUCAGCAGUUCCAUGCCCAGAUCAUCAAAGCAGGUGCUGACAGUGACCACCAUGUUUCAAAUGCUCUCAUAGACAUGUAUGCAAAGUGCGGCUUCAUCAAAGAAGGGCGGCUGUUGUUUGAGUCAACGUUGGGAAAGGAUGUCAUUUGUUGGAACUCCAUGAUUUCGACUUAUGCUCAGCAUGGUCAAGCUGAGGAAGCUCUUUAUGUUUUCAGGAUGAUGGGAGGGACUGGAGUCGAACCGAACUAUGUGACUUUUGUUGGCGUGUUGUCAGCAUGUGCUCAUGCAGGCCUCGUGGAUGAAGGUUUACGCCAUUUUGACUUCAUGAAAACAAAAUAUGCUAUCGAACCAGGCACCGAGCACUAUGCUUCUGUGGUCAAUCUUUUUGGUCGUUCAGGGAAACUGCAUGCUGCCAAGGAGUUUAUUGAAAGGAUGCCAAUUGAACCAGCUGCAGCUGUUUGGAGGAGUUUGCUGAGUGCCUGCCAUCUGUUUGGUAAUGUUGAAAUCGGGAGGUAUGCCACUGAAAUGGCGCUCUUGGCGGAUCCUGCAGACAGUGGCCCCUCUGUUCUAAUGUCAAAUAUUUAUGCCUCUAGAGGACUGUGGUCUGAUGCGCAGAAGCUGAGGCAGGGGAUGGAUUGUGCUGGGGUAGUGAAGGAACCAGGAUAUAGCUGGAUUGAGGUGAUGAAGGAGGUUCAUACGUUCAUUGCACGGGGACGAGAGCACCCGGAGGCAGAUGUGAUAUAUUCUCUACUGGAUGAGCUGACAAGUAUACUUAAAAAUGGUGGAUAUCUUCCUGAUACCUCUGAACUUACUUUGCUUGAUGAAUGGCUGAUGAUGAUAACCCAUGGUGAUUGUCACUGAAGAUGGCAUGGAUCAUCUCCAGAGAUAUGGAAGAAGCACUUCAUCAGGUUGAAACGGAAUACAAGAAUUAAGAGUACAAUAUUUCAUCUGAUGAAUUGCGCUACCAUGCGGGCAUCCAAACAAUGUUCAAUACAGGUAAACUGAAAAAUACUAUCGGAAAGCAGGACAGUAAGACAAAUCGAUGAGGUUAGACCAUCUCAAGAAGAUCAGACUUGUAGGUUUUACCUAACCGAAACCUGAGCUUCAAGACAGGCCAUUCACCUAGCAGCUUAGUGAGAAUUGGCAACAAAGCUACCACAAUGCAAGUUGCAAUGGCCAACCAGUGGAGACGCGGGGCCAGCACUGUGUAUAAACCCGUUGAAAAAGCCGUAGUCGUUGCCACGUAGGCAAACCACAUGAGUUUCUUAGUAAAUGAUCUGUAAUAAAUCAAGAACUCAUAAUCCUCCCACCUUGCUAUGAUGCAUAUGAAGGCGACAACAAACGAGGAGCACAUUGCUAAGAUGUCAGAGAUCAAGAAUGCCUGAAAUGGAAACUUCUUGGACAUGAUGGGAAGUCCCUCAUUUCCAGCACCACUGCCAUAUCCUCCAGGCAGGGUGAAUGCAGCGGCAAAGGUAAUUGUUGCAAUGAGGGUUGCCACUAACGAAGUGUUGCUUGUAUAUGUUUGUGUUAGUGACUUUGCAUCAUUCCUUGAAGCAUUAAUCGCCUGUUGCUUGGCUUCAUCAUGAAGAUUAUAAAUAGACGCGGCAUCUCGAGGAUCCGCUUUUAGCAUAAGCAUCCUCACUUCAUUCUGCAUGAAUUCAAUGUAAGGUACGAACUGAGCUCACAACACAAUAAACUGGCUAUUCCACAUUCUUCAUUAUGUGGAGGUGUUCUUUGUAGCAGUACUCUUCUUUCCAAAAUAUGAGGCACAUAAUAAUACGUGCAAUCAACAUUAUAAAACUGUAGUGGCGGUCACUCUUAUAAACAUAAACGGUCCCAUUGCUUAUUUGCAGAUUACGGACCACUGUUAUUUCUAAAGAGGACUUCUGUAGUGGGUUUAGCAAGAACCAAGAAGUCAUGCCGCCAAAAUGACGAAAAUGGCUUUUGGCUCCCGGGAUUUUGGGAGCCCUUUAUUUGGAGGGAAACGGAAGUCAUUUAUUUGGAGGGAAACGGAAGUCAUAUUUCUAAGUUUCAAAAAUUCUGAUUUCUGUUUUUAGUGUAAACAUAGAUGAAAGAAGAAAUAUGUUGAUUUGUGAUCCAUACAAAAAUCACAAUUUGUGAAACUUAAUGGGGUAAAAUGUGGAAACUUUUGCACUAAAUUGGGUAAGUUUAGGUAAUUUUCACUAAAUGGGGUAAUUGUUGUCAAAAAAUUCAGAGCAGAGGGUAAAAACUGGAAUAUAUGUAUGUGUGUGUAUUUGAGCAAUGGUUACUAUAGACUUGGAAACAUAAGCCAGAUAAUGAGAUUCAUAUGGUCUAGUAUAUAUAAGUACCCAGUUUAAAGUCUUGGCAUGAGACUUGAUCCCCAGCAAUUCCCAAGCUGCUGUACCAGCAUUGUUGUCAAUCACUGUUGCAUUUAUAUCUUUGUGAGACAGUAAAGCAACAACUAUUUUAGGAUUGCACUUCUGGACUGCAUAAUGAAGAGCGGUUUUUCCUUUGCUGUCUUGCAUGUUAAUGACAUUUCGAAGUUGGGGUUUCUUCACGAUAAAUUCAACGAACUCUGCUUGAUCAUACCAUACAGCUGAAUGGAGGCAUGUCCAACCAUCUGCUCGGCGAUAAGGAGCAUCAGGACAAUAUUUGAGAAGUUCUCUAGCAGCAUCAACUUGACCUCGAUAUGCGGCAGAUUCAAGGAGAGGAACACCCAGGCCGCUUGUUUCAUACCCUAAAGAAGAAUCAUGUUCCAGAAUUACUCGCACCAUGUGAAUACUUCCAAAUAGCAUAGCUAGUGUCAUUGGAGUACUUGUAUCCUUGCCAGCUUCUCUGGCCAAACCAGGAUGUUUCUCCAUCAUUCUUUUAGCAAUUUCUGACAAAACAUUACCAAGACAUGACUGUUAAUAACGUUGAAAUGAUGUAACAGGAUGAUGUUUAUUAAUCGAAUUGGCACUACUCCAUGUACUACAUCUCACCUGAAUUACCAUUUCUAACAGCAGCAUGUAGAGCAUUGCGGCCGAAUUGUCCCACAUGAGCAGAAAAUUCAUUUUCCAACAGUUUAUCUGCAACAUUAGUAAAAUCUCUCAUCGCCGCAACAAACAUGGAUGACUCAUUGCAUUUGUUGACACCUUGUGACAGGGCAGGCUCUGCUGCUAUCAACUCCAGCGCAAGGUCCUGGUGGCCGUUGCAAAUGGCAUGAUGCAGUGCAUUGCAUCCGUACCUGUCUUGUUGCAAGAUUGCCGGCCUCAAUCCCAGUUGGCAGCAGCGUCUGAGUAGAAAAGAAGCCAAGGAGACAUGACCAAGUGUAACUGCGGUGACAAGCGGCGUCUCCUGUUCAAGAUUGUAUUUUGAGAGGAGAGACUCCUCUAGUGUUAUUACAUCCUUGCAGAAUUCUUGGUGGCCAUGGAUGGAGGAUAUGUGGAGGCAGGUGUUCCCCGAUGGAGUUGUUCCGAGAAGAAUGCUUGGAUCCUGUGAAGCCAUGGCCUUCAUUGACACAGAAUCACCAGAUGUGGCUGCUCGCAAGAGCCGUCUGUCCAUUCCUACAAUCCGAGUCAUAUAUGAAAUACCUACAAUGAAAAGUGUCUAAAGAAACAGGUUGAUGUUUAUAGUACCUGGUCGUAGCAGAUGGCAACUGAUGACAAUGUUCCUUUUGGGAUUUUUGUUGGAAGUAAUCACUCGAAAAUGGGGGAUCAGUAUUGAGUGAAGAGACAAGCUUGGUUGAAUUGAAUUGGGCAAAGAUGCCUGUGUUACUCUAACAAGCAAAGAAUAUACAUUUUGCUGAAAGCAAAUGAGAAGCUAGCAGUAUUGAGUGGGAUUGACGAAACGUAUCAGAUGUAUUCGACCUUUUGCUUGCUUGCCAUGUGCAUGCAUGUUUAUGCAGAGUAUUAAUUUUAGGCUGAAUUUGUAUCUUGUAAUUCCAGCUCCAAUUCCUGAUUGGGUUACAGGAUAUGAAAGCAUCGCAUUUUAUGUAUUUUUUCAGUCGUGGCAAGGAGCCUGUGCGCAUUUUCAUAAGAGAUGUAUAUAUGAGGUUCACUGUUGUUAUCAGGAAAACGGUUUUCAGUGUAUAAUAAACAGAUGGUCUGAGAGAUGAACUAUUCAAGGUCAAUCCUCAGUCCUCAGAAACAACUAACUCUGGGCUAUCCAACGACUAUAUAUCUGACAUACUUAUAUUGUAGAAGAUGGGAGCAAGUUUGACUGGUCAGAUCAUACGCAAAAUAUCAGAGCAUGCACGUUUACUGGCUUGAGUUACGAUGUAGUACAAGUGAACAUAGAAAUGCUUAACUCUUAUACUGAAGGUCGGGUGUUGUUAGCAACUCAUGAGGUAACAAGAACAUGGCAAAUAUUGUAGGCAAUUUUAACAUUCUUGUUAAAUAGAACUGAAUUUUCUGUACAGGAAAAUGAUUUUCUUAGUACAUAAUAUUGUAUACAGUUAAGCUUCUGCCUAGUUCCUAAAAAGAACACCCCAACUUGUAGCUUCAGUAAUGCUAAAUAUACUAAUUUGUUCAUAGAUUUAUGUAUACUACUCUUUAGUGGUGCUUUUCAAGCAUUUUUCUUGGUGCUGUUCCACGGCAACUCUCGCCUUUCAAAUGCUAAAAAUUAACCCACAGUAAAUUCCAUUGAGGAAGACAUGAAUCACUUAUAGAGAGAUCGGAGAUGGAACACUGCAUAAGUUUUUAUUGAAUACAAGAAUUACCAGUACAAUAGUUUUUCCUGAUGAAUUGAAAAUACAACAUGAGCAGCCAGCAAAACAAUGUUCACUACAGAUAAACUGAAAAAUAUUAUCAGAAAGCAAGCAGUGGAACCAUAUAUAAGACAGAUUGAUGAGGUCACACCAUGUGAAGUAGAUCGUAGUUGAAUGUUCUACCGAGCCGGAAUUUGAGAUUCAAGACAGGCCAUGUGCCGAGUAGCCAAGUGAUAAUGGGCAACGAAGCUACCAGAACGCAAAUUGCAAUGGCCAACCAUUGUAGAUGUGGCACCAGCACUGUAUAUAAACCAGUUGAAAAUGCCGUAGUUGUUGCAACGUAUGCAAACCACAUGAGUGUCUUGGUAAAGGAUCUGUAGUAAAGCAAGAACUCAUAAUCCUUCCACCUUGCUACGAUGCAUAUGAAGGCGACGACAAAUGAGGAGCACAUUGCUAAGGUGUCAGAGAUCACGAAUGCUUGAAAUGCAGCCUUCUGAGCCAUGAUAGGAAGUCCCUCGCUUCCAGUAGCAGUGCUAUAUCCUCCAGGCAGGGUGAAAGCAGCGGCAAAGGUGAUUGUUGUAACGAAGAUCGCCACUAAUGAAGUGUUGCUUGUGUAUAUUUGUGUUAGUGACUGUGCAUCCAUCCUUGAUGCAUCAGUCGUCAAUCGUGUCAUAUGUGUGAAAAGAUUAUUGAUAGAGCCGGCACCUCGCGGAUCAGCUUUCAGCAUUAGCCCGGUCACUUUAUUCUGCAUAAAUUCGAAGCAAGGCACAACUAACUAAAUGGAGCUCAUAGUGUAAUGAUAAAGCUUAGUUAUUCUACUUGGCGGAUAUAGCAUAUACAUACGUACCCAGUUUAGAGUCUUGGCACGAUCCAUGAUGUCCGACCUCAAUACCCAGGCUGGCACCUUACCAGUGUUGUCAAGCACUGUUGUGUGUAUAUCUUGGUGAGACAGCAAAGCAGCAACAAUUUUAGGAUCACACUUUUGGACAGCGAGAUGCAGAGCGGUCCUUCCAUCCUUGGCUUGCAUGUUGACGACUUUGCGGAGUUGUGGUGUACUCAGGAUAAAUUUAACGAAGUCUGUGUGACCAUACCAGACAGCUGUGUGAAGGCAUGUCCAACCAUUAACAUCUGUGCCGCGACAAGGAGCAUCUGGACAAUGGGUAAGGAGCUCUCGAGCAACAUCAACAUGACCUUCAAUUGCAGCAACCUGAAGGAGAGUAUAACCAUUGCCUGUCUUUUGAUACCCUAAAGAAGAAUCGUGUCUCAGGAAUUCUCGUAGCACGUUCACCAUGUCACGAGACACAGCCGAACACACUGGAGUGUACGCAUUCUGUGAUUGUUUAGCCAGCUCAGGACAUGUUUCCAUGAUUCCUCUUAUGAUCACUGAAAAUAAAUAAACAAAUCAAGGCCCAAGGGAUGAUUUUUGAUAUAAAGAUACAGGACACUGAUCGAGCUACAGAUAGUGUAUAGAUCGGCAUAUAUCCCAAAGCCAAUUUUCUGUAAAUGAACUACAUAUGCAUAGAUAGAUUAGAUAUAUCUCACCUAAAUUUCCAUUUCUCGUGGCUACGUGCAGAGAAUUGUAGCCGAACUGCCCUCCGUGAACACAGCCAGGAGUAUCCAACAGUUCUCUGCAACGUCAGUAAAAUCUCAUGGCGGCGGAGAACAUGGGUGACUCCUUGUAAUUGUUCACAUGUGUCGACAGCUCGGGCUCUGCUGCUAUCAACUCCAGGGCAAGCGCCCUGUGGCCAUAGUGAAUGGCAUGGUGCAGCACGUUGCAUCCAUCCUUGUCCUGCUUCAAGAUUGCCUGCCUCACCUCCAGUAGAAUCUCCUCGUAGGUGUGGCGAAGGGCGUGCAGUGCGUCACAUCCAAUACCGGCUCUCGCCACAAUUUGCACGCACAAGUCCCUCACAAGCUCCCUGUGGGCGUCGCGAAUGGAUUGGCAGCAUCGUAGCAAGACAGUAGCCACCGCGACGGAGCCACUUCUCACUGCGGUGGCAAGUGGGGUCUCCCCAUCCAAGUUUGUCUUGGCGAAGAGAGCGAGAGGGAGAGAAUCCCCCAGAGCCACCACAUCCUUGCAGAAUUGUUCGUGACCAUGGAUGGAGGCUAUGUGGAGGCAGGUGUUCCCCGAUGGAGGUGUUCCCCGAUGGAGUUGUUCCCAGAAGAAUGGCUGGACUUUGAAGUGCAUACUGCACCAGUAACGUGGAAACACCAGAAUUGGCUUCUCUCAGGAGGUCUUCAUUCAUCCAUGCCCCUGGCGCUGCUCCUCCUCCAGCCGGCGGUGGCGGCGGCGGCCGUCCUCCUCCAGCCGGCAGCGGUGGCACUCCUCCAACCGCCGGCGCGGCCGCUAGUCCUCCACCCACCGCGGCCGAUGGCACUGCCAUUGGGAAAAUGUGCACUAGUUUAAUUUGGGAUCCAAUGCUGCCGCACGUUAGAGAUCCACAGCCGAUUCAAUUAAAAAACUUGACCUGCUCAGACUGCGUUUCAAAUUACCUAACAAUGAAUAAAGAAACUACUAAUCCAGCCGGACAGAAAGAAGAAGAGGAAAGUGCUUUCUUCGAAUACCUCAGCCCUCAGGCGGCGGCCGUCGUACUCCAGCACCGCCAUGCCCCCAGGUCGCGAUCCCGUCGCCCUCGGCCCGCGCCGCUGGCGAAGGUCUACGGGGCCACAGCCCCCCAGGUCCCGCAUACCGGCCGCCGGAAUCUCACCCCGACGCCUUCGUCCCCCCAGUUCAUCUUUUCUUUUCUUUUUUCGUUUCUGGCUUUGUGAGGACUGAGGCCGCCCAGUUCAUGAUACGGGAAAUGAGCAAAAUGGGCCAGCAAAAACCAGCAGGCCGCCUCAUUUGGUAGCCCACGCAGCACCAGGGCCGAGUCCAGCAGCAGACGCAGCUUCAAGAACUUUGACUGAUUCGCUAAAGAAAAAAGAAAGAACUUUGACUGAUUUGAUUUUUUUUUUACUAAUUUUAUUAAAUUCAUCGUGGAAUGUAUCUUCGUGCUGUACUUACUUGAUACAGUAGAUAUUAGUAAUUCGUAAAAACAAAUCUUAGUACAUAAUAUUUGCAGCCAGUUAAGCUUAUUUUAUUGAAAAAAAAACACGUAGCUUCAGUAGUGCUAACUAUACUAAUUUGUUUAUAGAUUUAUGUAUGCUACACUCUUCUCUGGUGCUGUUCAAGCAAUUCUUUUGUCAAGUUCCACGGCAACUCACGUCUUUCAAAUGCUAAAAAUUGACCCAUAGUAAAUUCCAUUGGAGAUGAGAUGAAUCACUUAUAGAGAGAUCAAAGAUGGAAGCAUUGCAUAUGGUUUUAUUGAAUGCAAGAAUUAACAGUACAAUAUUUUUUUCCCCAUGAAUUAAAAAUACAACAUGGCCAGCAGCCAAAUAAUGUUCAUUACGAACAAAUUGGUGUGAGGUCACAACAUGUCAAGAAGAUCGGAAUUGAAUGUUUUACCCAAUCGGAUUCUGAGCUUCAAGACAGGCCAUUUGCCGAGUAGCCAAGUGAAAAUGGGCAACAUCGCUACCAGAACGCAAAUCGCAAUGGCCAGCCAGUGGAGAUGUGAAGCCAAAACCGUAUAUAAAGCAGUAGAGAAUGCCGUAGUUGUUGCGGUGUAUGCAAACCACAUGAGCUUCUUAGUGAAGGAUCUGUAAUAAAGCAAGAACUCAUAAUCCUCCCACCUUGCUAUGAUGCAUAUGAAGGCGACAGCAAACGAGGAGCACAUUGCUAAGACGUCGGAGAUCAAGAACGCCUGAAAUGCAAACUUCUUGGACAUGAUGGGAAGUCCUUCGUUUCCAGCAUCACUGCUGUAUCCUCCGGGCAGAGUGAAGGCAGCGGCAAAGGUGAUUGUCGUGGUGAGGAUUGCCACUAACGAUGUGUUGCUCGUAUAUGUUUGAGUUAGUGACUUUGCAUCCUUCCUUGCUGCAUCAGUCGCUCGUUGCUUUGUAGCCUUGUAAAGAUUAUAAAGAGUGACGGCUUGUCGGGGAACAGCUCUCAGCAUAAGCAUGCUCACUUCAUUCUGCAUGAAUUAAAAGGGAGAUACAAAUGGAUCUCAUGGUGUAAUAGUAAAGCUGAGCUAUUCUAUGACGUGGAAAUAGUCUUAAUAAUCAUAGUAUUGUACUUAGUUAAGAAAAUUAGAUGACACACCAAAGCCAUUCUAUUUAAUUGAUCAAAGAAACAAUCAAAGAGUAGGGGAUAUGUUUUUAAUUUUUAAACUGAAUGCAACUAGAAUAACUCAUAUGUUAAAAUAAAUCUAUUACAUAGUUCUACAUGGGGGAAAAUUAAGUCCAAAACACUGAAUUCGCUAUAUAUUAUCUGCAUGCAACUUACUUCCCUACGAAUCAUUUUUUUGUUGUCACACCCCUUCAAGUUAUUUUACCAUUGAAUUUUCUUUUCCUGGAAAGAGCCGUGCCACAAAACACCCUAGAAAAAAAUAACAGUAUUUCUAGAAAGAAAGAAAAAAUGAGUUAGCCUUUUAUUUUAUUUUUGCUUAGCCUCUGGCCAAUUUCAUCUUGUAGAGAUGUUAGUGCUUAGAUGGAUUAUUCUGUCUCGGUAAUUGUUAAAGCAAACAAUCAUUAAAAACCUUGUGAGCUCCCUUUAAAACGUUGCUUAGUGCUCUAGUUGUUUGUGUAAGCUAUAUACGCGGUUCCAAAAUGUAAACUAUAAAGCGCAUUCAUUUUGUUUUAUCAUGGCUUUGACCAACAAUUACUCCAUUAACACAUGACUUGUGCGAUGCAAAUCAUAAUCACAUAAGAAAAUACUUUUGAAUACGAAUACAAUGAUAUCGAUUUUCUGUCACGUAAAUUAGAUAUGAAUGGACUAACUGAUGGUCAAAGGAAACGAAUAGACACACAAUUGUGUUGGCUCUGAUACAAGAAAGGUUUCUAUGCUGCGUCAUGAAUGAGUCUAUGAUUGUUUACUCGCAUAAUAGACGGAAGGGGUACGUACCCAAUUUAAAGUCUUGGCUUGAUUUGUGGCGUCAUCCAAUUUUCCAAGCUGCUGGAUUAGCAUCUUCGUCAAUAAUCGUUGGGUCUAUAUGCUUGUGCGACAGUAAGGCAGCAACAUUCUUAGGAUUACACAUUUUGACUGCCAAAUGCAGAGCGGUUUGUCCUUUGUUGUCUUGCAUGUUAACAAGUUUAUGGAGUUGCGGCAUCAUUAGAAUAAAUUCAGCGAACUCCGUAUGAUUGUUAUAUAUAGCCGUAUGAAGGCAUGUCCAACUCUGCUGAUUUACAGCGCAAUAAGGAGCAUCUGGACAAUUACUAAGAAUCUCUCGAGCAACGUCAACAUGACCUCGAAACGCGGCAGACGUAAGGAGGGGGUAACCUUCUUUGUGUACUUCAUACCCUAAAGAACAAUCAUGUUCUAGCAAUACUCGUAGCACGUCAGGCUUGUUAAAAAGUACAGCCAGUCUUGCUGGUGUAUUGUGGUUGACCUUCUCAGCUGCUCUCGCCAUUUCAGGUCGUAUCCGCAUAAUUUUUGUAGUGCUUUCUGAGAAUAACAAAUCAAGGCGUGAAUUAUGGAUGGUUAACAACUAAGGCAAGAUGCUAAUCUUGACACGCUAAUUCAUCAACGAUAAUCCUAAAAUAUAAAUCCCAUGGCAAGUUAGUACGCUGAUGUUAAAAAAUGGAGGACAUAAGAACUAUUGUAAUUUGUACUAACUCCAUAGAGCUCACCUUGAUCCCCAUUUUCAGCCACAGCAUGCAAAGCAUUGCGGCCCUUCCGUCCCGCAUGACUAAAGUCUGGAAUUUUUAACAGUUCCUCCAAAAUACCGGUAAAAUUUCUCAUUGCCGCGAUGAACAUGGGUGACUGGCCGUACUUGUUCACACCUUUGGACAGAGCAGGCUCUGCUGCUAUCAACUCCAUCGCAAGCUCCCCGUGGCCGCUGCGAAUGGCAUGGUGCAGUGCAUCCGGGAAGAAGAACUACCGCACGGGAUCAAAUUGAAUUAAUAUUUGCGUCGGAGUACGCGCUAAGGAUCCUUCUCUAAGUAAGGAUCAAUUCAUCCUUUUUUUCAUUAACUGCAGCGCCAGGUGGGUUUUUUUCACAGGAUACGACGUCAAGAGUGAAGUGCUGGGAUAGAACUAAGGGCAUCUUCAUAGCCAAUGGAAGGAGAGAUGAAUACCACAACUAAGUAGCGGUUUCUUGAAAAAGUAACAGGUACUACACGGAUACAGAGACAAAAGAAAAUGACACUUUAAAAAAAAAGAGGAGAGAAGAAAUGUGGUAUCAACCACCACAGCUGGAGAUGUCCUAAUUGUCCUCCUCCUGUAGCUAGGAUCGCCUCGCUCAACCGGAUCGAGGCCAAGGGGACACGGCCACGUGCAACAGCGCUGUCGGAGUUUACGUACGGCCGUGAGGAGAGACUCCUCUGGUGUUAUUUCCUCUAGUUACAUCCUUGCAGAAUUCCGGAUGGAGGAUAUGUGCAGGCAGGUGUUCCCCGAUGGAGUUGUUCUGACAAGAUAUGCUACUUGUAUUGAAGAUUACCGAAGUACGUAUUCUUGGAGUGACUGGUCAGAUCAAAUGCAAAAUAUUAGAGCAUGCAUUUUUACUGUUGGGGGCUUAAUUCAGUCAAGUCAAGAAUGCUUAACCCUUGAAGAUUGAUGAUUGCAGUUACUUUUUUUUUUUUAUGAAAGCCAGGUACAAGACACAGCACACAGCAAAGAUAAAACCGGAAGACACCGGGUCCCAAACAAAAGCACAAGCGACUCCUGAACAAUGAAAAAAUACAAGGUAGCCCCGUGCCAGAACACGAAGAAGAACCGCGUUGAUGAAAGAUCUGGAGCAAUUUAUUCGCCGCCGCCGCCGUUGUCUCUGAAGAAAUCACCGCCGGGACGGACGAAAACCAAAGCUAUCAUGCCCUAAACCUACUGCUAUACAAGGUCCGAACGCGAUGUCCGGCGACUCCCCUACUCACUCACUGACGGCAGCGAGGGCGUCAGGAGGGCACGCAGAAGGGUCGAGACCGUGGGCUAAAACCAGAAUUAGCCUAUAGAUAUGAAACAAUUGUAUCGUAUCUUAGGUAUUGACCGAAUUGCUAUAAGAAAUUAAAACGUUGUAUCUUAGGUAUUGAUCGAAUGGCUUCAAGAGGAAGGCAAAAAUCACGGCAGGGGUGCGAAAUUGAUCGGAACCUAAGUCUGUUGGAGGCUUCAGCUGGAAAGAAGGAAGAAGACGAAAGAGGUUCGAAUACCUCAGCCCUCCAGGUCCGCGGCGCCGCUGGGCGAAGGUCUACGGGGCGACGGCCGCCGGAAUCUCACCGCCGACGCCUCUGUCCCCGCCCCCCAGUUCAUCUUUUUUUUUCUUUCCCUUGCGUUUAUGGCUUGGUGCCGCCCGUUCAAUGAUACGGGAAGUCAGCAACAUGGGCCAGCGAAAACCAGCAGGCCGAUCCGCCUAAUUUGGUAGCCCACGCAGCACCAGGGCACCCCAGUCCAGUCCAGCAGCUUACGCGACUUUAAUUUAUUCAUUUUUCGCUCAAAAAAAUAUAUUUAUUUGAUUCUCUAUUUAAUUUUCAACUACUUUUACUAAAUCCAUGUGAUAUAUAUAUUUUCAGAAAACAUUUUAUAUUUAAGAACAUAGGCAGUGCUAUAUCAGAUGUCAUGAAGUGAUCUGCAGUAUGUACAUUUAAGUUUGACAAAUCUGUAAUCAAAUUAAUUCAUGAUUGGAGCAUCUGGUUAUUUUUGUUUACAGUCGUGGCAAGGAACCUGUGCGCAUCGAUCUUCAUGAGAGAUGGGAAAAUGGUUUUCAGUGUAUAAACAGAUGGCCUGAGAUGAACUAUUUAAGGUCAAAAUCCUCAGUCCUCACACACAACUAACGCUGGGCUGUCCAACGACUAUCAGAGCAUGCAUAUUUACUGCGGGCUUGAGUGUCGAUGACACAAUUAUUAUUAAUUAAUACCAUUAAGCGAGGAAGAAGGGGCGAGCAACCGGGCAUGCCACGUCGGCACAAUUCACUGUGCCGAUGGGCACUGUAUGGAUCUGACCGAGGUCUGACCGACAAGAUCGAGGAGGGAACGGGCUCGAUCAGCAUCUUCCAUUUUCGACGUGAGUAUCUCGACAAGUGUGUUUGGUCUUUGUACGAUGAGACUGAUGUGUAGAGCGUUUCCGACAGAGUAAGGUCAUAGUGUUCCUUCUUUCCUGAACCGAACUGAGUUCCCUUGCUGAACUGAAUUCAACUGUAAGCGUGCCUUUGUUUUUUGUGCAUUUAGGUACCUGAUUUCCCCGUUAAGGAAGACGCUCCUGCGGUUGGUACCAAGGUAGGCCGUCUCGUUUCGUUGCAGAGUUCAAAGGAAGUGUGUUCCAUGGGAUUUCUAGGUUAUCUCUCUUGUUUCUGCAGUUUGUCAGAGUUGCAACCCUUUCUGUAGACGUGAAGAAAGAACUCGAAGACCCAGAUAGCAGGUGGUGGCCGACUAACUGGCUGGAUGUUCCAUAAUCAACUGUUGUGCUCCUAGUCAAGAAGAAUCUGAGUUCUCAUAGAGAAACGUUGAUGCUUACAUGAUUCAUAUGCAUUUGUCCUUGAUUCACAGGUAUAACUUUGGGUGGAGCCUUGGGAAGGAGAAACUCGGUAAACACUUCUUCAUGGUAUAUGUAUACUGGAAAAGAGAUAACUAACAUUGGGUGGCUAAUUAGUUUCUUCCCCAUGUUCAUUGUGCACCUCUUAGCACAUCUGUUUGCACUUUCUAAUCUUAGUUUUGUACUGGCCACAUGAAUGCAUUUAAGAUAAAUUAACUGGUUCCAAAAGUAGUUUAUUGAAAACAAUAGGGUAUUGUGGUUUUACUUUUCUUUUUGAAGAAGUUAUAUAUUUUUGGCAUGCUUUUUUUUUUGCUCCUGAAUUGGCUUCUGAGUAUUUCCUGCAGAUACAUUCAAAGGGUCCUAUUAUGCCAACCCAAUUUUGGAUUUCCCUACUACAGAUGAUGAGCUUGUAAGUUGGUAUAAUAUUUAUAACAUAACAAAAAAUAUUUUUGCUUAUGAAUAGGCUUUGGUACUAUGCGAUUGUCCCAAGUCUGAAGAUAUUUAACAAGACCUCUACCUAUGAUGUAUAUUAAAAUUCAUACUACACAUAUCGUUUGUACAGUAACAUGUAAGCCAUUUAAUCUUUGCAAUCGCUGUUAUAUUUGCUCGGUGAAAGGACAACAAUCCUUGCUAUUAUUUCUUUUAGAUGCACCACAUGCCAACUGCCUCCUGAGUUGAAAAAUUACAUGUGCACACUGAAUAUUGAUUCAUGUUUGCUUUAUUACGACGUUGAAUGGUGUUUUAAUCUGCAGGUGUCCAUCAUGCUGCUGGCCGAAUAUAUGGCCAGUUGAUCAUCUUCCUGAGCUCGAAACAGGUAUGAUUUUAACUGACUCUGACUGCCCUGGUAUUGAAGAGCUUCCUUCAACUGGCUCAUGACUAUUUGUUGACAGUAGAUUAAAAUUGUCCUCGUAUUUGUAGCAUUUAUAGAUCUUGGAAAGCUAAUGCUUGAAGUUGACUUGAUGUUGGCUCACCAUUGUGAUCUCUAUGGUAUGUACUGCAUAAACAACACUGUAACUUAGUAUGAUUUGUCAAGAAACAACUCAAGCUUUUCAGCUCUAUAUGCAACUGAAACUCUAUAUGCAACUGAAACAAAUGUAUUCUUGGCUAAAAGUUUGUGCGCUUCGGCCGAUCUUGCAUAUACUAAUACUAAGAUCUUCGGUUGGGAAGUGACAAAUUAUUAACUACCAUGCAUGUUUCCUGCAGUGCAAGCAUCUAUUGCUGCAAAAACACGAGUAACCAGUGGAACACCACAACAGAAAGUAAGUCUUGCUUUAUAAUAUUCAUGGCUUCAUCAAUUUAUUAAGUAGCCUUCUUUUUCUAGGAACAUAAAUAUUUGUGAGAUACACCGAACUGUCUAGGCAACAAUCUAAUCUUAACCUGAACUGGUUGUUUAUUAGUUUGGACAUCCAGAUUAGCCUCAUAAUGUUUUCCAAGUGAAGUUGCAGUUUACUAAUUGUUGGUAUCAUGAUGUUGAACACCUUUCCAUGAGUUCAUAAAUAUGUAUGGGAAGAUACCAUACAAACCAAAAAAUAGUUGAAUGGUUUAAUCUUUGUACAGUCUGUGGCCUAUAAUUAAUGCCUGUUCUUGAGUUACAGAGCAAUCAGAAUACUCCCCAGGUUCUUUUACAGGUUUCCGACCUUUUUUCAUACAGAGAUGUGCAAGUUUCUUUCUUCUUUAGCAUGUAGUACACGGUCAAAUAUUUGUGUAUUCAUAAAUUGUCUCACAUAAUAUAUAACUUAAGAACAAAGGACUUCAUUCUUCCUUAUUCCCAGAUUUCUCUCUUAUUUCUCUUCAUUUUCCUCUGCAUAGGCUUUAAGCUGCUUAUAAAUAUCUUAGUUUUUUCUCAGCGUGUACUUUUAUCCAUCAUCGGCUUGAUGGUACAAGUACUCUUCCACAGAUAAGAAAUCUGUGGUAGAAUGCAAAAAAUAAAUGUACCUACAUAUUUUUGUCCCCUAAAUUAGGUGAUUUAAUUUAAUCCGAGUAACUGUAUUCAUGUACCAUGGUUGCGUAGUUUGAGAUAUGCAUACGACUUGGUGUCAUGCUUACCAUUGUUCACCUUCCUAACAAUUCCUAACAAGAUGCAAGUUAAAAUGUACCGAAGAAAAAUAUCCCAAUCGAACAAUUCUUAUCAGUAUAACUGAAUCAUGACUUUCUAGAAACCUUGAAUUUUUCCAUCAUUUACAUAGAUGGCAUGAGCAGAUGAGUACAAGAACAUGAACAUAUAAAAGAUAAAGCGCUUUACAACGACGAUUUUAUUCAAUCUGAGCAAGAUGAAAGCUGCAGUUUACACUAGCAACAGCGUUAGGUUAUGUAAGUAUACGAAAACACAUGAUGAACAUUAAUUGACUGGUGCAUGCUGACAGGUUGCAAUAUAGAUUAAAAUGAUCAGAUCAUAUGAAUUCACUGCAGCGUUUGGAAAGUCACGCUCCUUAGGUACAUGCAAGCAAUGGAAGUUUUACAUACGUUAAUAAACAUUGAGAUAAACUUCACAACUAAGGUUGCUAUUUGUCCAUCUUCAACUGAGUUCGGGACCAAGCAGGUAAAAAAUAGCCAGCCACAGCUUGUAAUGUCUCAAAGGAAGAACGAAAUUUCACAGAAGUAAAUGGGCGCCUGAACCAAAACAGCAUCAGCUGGUGAGACUGGUCCUUCUAACUGAGUUUACUCACUGUAUUCAGGCAAGUAGCAAAUUUAAUUCAUUAUUUGGCUUAUUAGGCACUGGAUAAUUAAGAAUGUAUAAACGCUGAAUGAUGAAUGGUGAGCUCCACUUGUUAAUGUUGAUUUAGGACAAGCGAAACAAAGGAGAGGGAGGGAUAGGGAGCUUAUAGAACAUCAACAGCAUUGCAUAAACAUGGAAAAGAUAGCAAAGAACAAACAUCAUAGGAGCUGAGAUGGUACUUUUUUUUUUUUCAGAGCGGUGAGAUGUGGCGGCGGCGCAACCUUCGGGAUGGGAGCGGUGAUGGCCUCUGCAGUCCACGAGAUGCUUUGCAGGCUUAUCUUCGAGGGUCUGCGGCCUGCGGGCCGGGGCUUGUGGGUGCGGCGCUGGCUUGGCCGGCAACACUGCCGCCGGGCGGCUCUGCGCUCAUGCGGAAGGCAACACAAGGGCGGGCCAUGCAGAGAUAGCUUGGUGGCGACUGGUGAGUCAGCGCCGACAGCAAUCUAUGAAUCUAGGUUGCAAGGUUAGGAAGGUAGAGUGGCAUGGUGAUGAUGUCAGUAUCUAUGUGUGAGAACAACCAAUCUAGAAUUUUCCUUCUCAUGAACAGGCAUGACUCAUGUUAUCAGCUAUGUUUCUGUCUGUAUAUCUAAUUAAGAAAAAACAUAUACGGUCUUCAUCACAAAUUACUCAUGAUGACCCAUGUUUUCAACUUAUCCAGUGUGUACGAUUUCUCUUGCAAAGGUUAUAGCUAUUAUAUAUUUAUAUAUAUAUAUAUAUAUAUAAUAGCUAUUAUAUCAAUUGUCUUGUUUUCCGAACAGAGAAGUCACACGAUGGACCUUUUUAUUCCUAUCCUUUCAAUUGCAAAAAUCAACUGUCGUGCUAUAUAUCUGAGUUAAAAGAUUUUGUAAAGAAUUUGGUGUAACAAACUUAUUCCGACACACAGCUCUCUCUAAUCAUACACCUUCCUACCACCCUGUCCACACCAGAGAAGCCUCGGGCAGCAGCUAUUGAGUACCAGACCAAUCCUUCACAACCUGAUCUCCCAGCCACGUCCCAGGGGGCGUGCGAAGGCACGCCACAAUCCAUAUGCGAGAAAUCGAAUUCUUCGUGACACGAAGAAAUUUACUUAGCACAAUUGGAAAAGUAAGAUAAGCAAGAAUAAAAAAAAUAUUCGUCAUAAUAUGCAGAAUAAAAAAUUAAGAAAUGCAAAAAAACUAAAGUGUAGUACAACUGCACAUAGAAAUGCUUCACUGUGAUACUGAAUGCUCAGCGUUGUUAGCUACUCAUGAGGUAACAAAGAACAUGGUAAAUACUGUAAGAACUGAAUUUUCGGUACAGGAAAAUGAUUUUCUUAGUUACACAAUAUUUUGGACAGUUAAGCUUCUAGCCAGUUUCUAAAAACAAACAACAACUUGUAGCUUCAGUAAUGCUAACUAUACUAAUUUGUUCAUAGAUUUAUGUUUACUAUAUUCCUUUCUGGUGCUUUUAAAAGCAUUUCUUUUGUGCUGUUCCACGGUAACUCUCGCCUUUCAAAUGCUAACAAUUAACCCAAAGUAAAUUCAAUUGGAGAUGUCACAGAUCAUUUAUAGAGAAAUGGAAUCACCGCAUAUGAUUUUAUUGAAUACGAGAAUCAAAAGAAAAGUACAAUAGUUUCUCCUGAUGAAUUAAAAAUACAACAUGCGUACCCAGACAAACAAUGUUCAUUACAGAUAAAUUAAAACUAUUACCAAAAAGCAGCGGAACCACAAGACAAGUUGAUGAUGUCAUCACACCAUGUCAAGGAGAUCGGAGUUGAAUGUUUUACCCAACCGGAAUCUGAGCUUCAAGACAGGCCAUUCGCCUAGCAACUUGGUGAGAAUGGGCAACAAAGCUACCAAAACGCAAAUUGCAAUGGCCAGCCAGUGGAGAGGUGGAGCCAAAACCGUAUAUAAUCCAGUUGAAAACGCCGUAGUUGUUGCUACGUAUGCAAACCACAUGAGCUUCUUAGUGCAGGAUCUGUAAUAAAGUAAGAACUCAUAAUCCUCCCACCUUGCUAUGAUGCAUAUGAAGGCAACAGCAAACGAGGAGCACAUUGCUAAGACGUCAGAAAUCAAGAAUGCCUGAAAUGCAAACUUCUUGGACAUGAUGGGGAGUCCUUCGUUUCCAGCAUCACUGCUGUAUCCUCCGGGCAGAGUGAAGGCAGCCGCGAAGGUGAUUGUAGCAAUGAGGAUUGCCACUAAGGAGGUGUUGCUUGUGUAUGUUUGAGUUAGUGACUUUGCGUCCCUCCUUGAUGCGUCAGUCGCUCGUUGCUUUGUAGACUUGUGAAGAUUAUAAAAAGAGGUGGCUUGUUGGGGUACAUCUCUCAGCAUCAGCAUGCUCACUUCAUUCUUCAUGUAUUCGAAGGAAGUUCUUAUGGAUCUCAUGGUGUAAUAAUAAAGCUGAGCUAUUCUAUGAUGUGCACAGUGUUAAUCAUAGUAUUGUAUUUAGUUAAAAAAAUUGACCACACAUUAAAGCCAUUCAGUUCAAAUUCAAACAGCCAAAGAGGAGGGAACAAGAAUAAUUCUAUACACGGGGAAAGUCUAUUAAACUGAAGGUCUAAUGGAAGUGGGCUCCUGUGGAUGUCUGUUUAAUAGGAAUGGGAAAAAUCUAUACAUAAAUCAUAUGUCUGUCCGUUCCUGUGGUAGGCCUCCACGAGCUGCUUUUCUUUGAGUUGCCGGAGUAGGCAUCUAUUUUGACUGAAAGAGUAGGCAUCUAUUAAACUGAAGGUUUAUGGGUAACAAAGAAGUGGGCUGGUUCAGGCGGAUGGUGGAUCGCUUUAUGCAGAGAGGGUUAUUUCGGGGAUGCAGAGGCUUACACCGGUGCCAAAUUUUCAGUGGAUGGCAAAACCGCAAGGUAUGACGGACAUUGAGGUUGUGUCGGCUUUUGAGUUUCAGCGGGCGUCGGUAAUUCUUUGGGCCGCACACAGCUUGCAAUACGAUGCAGUUGACUCCGUGUUGCCCGAACUGCGACUUUGGUUUCCGGCUCACGGAUUCAUGGAUGUCGUCGGAGAAAAGAAAAAUAGGUUGCUGCUCGAUAGCCGCCCGCCGGCCCUCGUAAAAUGCUUGGAAUCAGGGUUCACAAUUCACAGGACGUGAUUUGGGGCUGGGAAGCAACGGCAUAUGGAGUUAGGCAGCAGGGCUUAAUCCGUAAAACAAGUACUCUCUCUGUUAACUUUGACUAAAUUUGAAUGCAUCUAUAUACUAAGUCAUGUCUAGAUACAUCCAAAUUUGGACAAAGUUGAGACAUCCUUUGUUGUACGGAGGGAGUAGACUGAACGACCAGGUUAAAGGAGGCAGGCGGCCGUCUAUUUGCAAAUUAACCAUGUUCUUUACCUAACUACUUUUGCUGCUGCUGUUUGGCUGCUUGCUCUGUUCUGUACGUACUCUGCAUCCUUCCAACUUGAAGUCUGAGGUGGAUUACGUGCUAUUGUGUGCCUUGAAUUGCUGUAGAGUUCAAGUGAACUUGCUGCUGCAGUAGUGUGCUGGUUAGGAGGAGAUAAGAUUGGGCGAUUUACUUGUGUGCUAUUUUGUUUGGAUCGGAAUUGGCCACAGGUGCCGCUGUGCCAGUGCUAAGUCGUGCCUUGUCAUGAAUUCAGAUGGUCUGCCUGGUCCUUGUCCUUUAGUACACUCUGAUGUAUGGGGUCCCUCUCCUUUUGCUUCAAAGGGUGGCCACAAAUAUUAUGUUAUCUUUGUUGAUGAUCAUUCUCGGUAUACUUGGAUCUAUUUCAUGAAGCAUCGUUCUCAACUGAUUUCCAUAUAUCAGGCUUUUGCACGUAUGGUCCACACACAAUUCUCUCGUGAUAUUCGUGUUUUUCGUUCUGACUCAGGGGAGGGAGUACCUAUCUGCAACUUUUCGUGAGUUUCUCUCUUCUGAGGGUACUCUUCCUCAACUUUCAUGUUCAGGUGCUCAUGCUCAGAAUGGUGUUGCUGAGCGUAAGCAUCGUCAUAUUAUCGAGACCGGUCGUACUCUUCUGAUUUCUUCCUUUGUUCCUACUCAUUUUUGGGGUGAAGCUAUCUCUACGGCUGUGUAUCUCAUCAAUCUGCAGCCUUCCUCCCAUCUUCAGGGCAAGAGUCCCGGAGAGGUUCUGUUUGGUUCUCCUCCCACAUAUGACCAUCUUCGUGUUUUUGGUUGUACUUGUUAUGUUCUUUUAACACCACGUGAGCGUACCAAGUUGACGGCACAGUCUGUACAAUUUGUUUUUCUUGGCUACAAUCUUGAGCACAAGGGUUAUCGUUAUUAUGAUCCUUCAGCUCGUCGCAUUCGCUUUUCUCGAGAUGUCACUUUUGUUGAGGAUCAACCAUUCUUCUAUUCAUCUUCCACCAAACCAUCAUCUUCCACCUCCUGAGAGUCCACCUCAUUUCUUUCACUUCCACCUAUUUUCUCUUCAGACGAGUCCAUUCCUGAUCAGUCACCACCAGAUCCACCUUCAUCACCACAUGCUUCACCCUCUCCUCCACCAGCCCCAUCUUCUCCUCCACCAGCUCCACCUCUUCUUGAUAGUUUUCCUUUCCAUUACACUCGUCGUCCUAGAGUCACACCUGAUGCUCAGCCAUCUAUUCCUUCAUCUUAUGUUCCUCCAGCCAGUAUUUUUGAUCCUUGCACUAACGACUCCUCUCAGACAGUAAGGUAUGCUCUGCGUGAUCGCUCCUCUCUCGAGCUUCCAAACAGAUACAGAAAAGAUUUCUGUGUAGGGGCAGCUUAUGAGCCUACGACUUAUCAGGAGGCAAUUGUGCUUCCUGAGUGGCAGCAAGCUUUGUCUGAGGAGCUUGCUGCCCUAGAAGGUACCGGUACAUGGGAUUUGGUACCACUACCUCCUCGAUCAGCCCGUAUUACUUGCAAAUGGGUGUACAAGGUAAAAACUAAGUCAGAUGGUUUCGUGGAAUGUCAUAAAGCUCGGCUUGUUGCAAGAGGUUUUCAACAGACUCAUGGGAGAGAUUAUGAUGAGACUUUUGCUCCAGUUGCUCACAUGACGUCAGUUCGCACUCUGGUUGAUGUUGCUGCAGCUCGGUCAUGAAAAUUUUCCCAAAUGGAUGUGAAGAAUGCUUUCCUUCAUGGUGAUCUACGUGAGGAAGUUUAUAUGCAGCCACCUCCUGGUGUUGAGGUUCCACUGGGUCAUGUAUGUCGCCUUCGGAAGGCUCUGUAUGGGCUCAAGCAAGCCCCUCGUGCUUGGUUUGAGCGGUUCAGUUCUGUAGUUCAAGCUGCUGGAUUUUCUCCUAGUGAGCAUGACCCUGCACUCUUCAUUCAUACAUCUGAGCUUGGUCGUACUCUUCUUUUACUCUAUGUGGAUGACAUGUUGAUCACCGGAGAUGAUAUGAGAUAUAUUGCUUUUGUCAAGAGAAAGUUGAAUGAGCAAUUCAAGAUGUCAGAUUUGGAGUCCCUCAGUUACUUUCUGGGAAUUGAGGUCAAGCAAAGUGAUGAUGGUUACUAUCUCUCUUAGCAAAGGUACACUCAUGAUUUGAUUUCUCGCUCGGGGCUUUAUGGCACACGCACUGCUGCUACACCCAUGGAGCUGCAUUUGCAUUUGCACCACACUGAUGGCACAACUCUUGAGGAUCCUUCUCGUUAUCGUCAUCUUGUGGGCGGUCUUGUUACCUCACCGUGACCCGACCUGACAUUUCACAUGCAGUUCACAUUCUUAGUCAGUUCGUUAGUGCUCCUACCUCAGUUCACUAUAGUCAUUUGCUUCGUGUUCUUCGGUACUUGAGGGGGACAACAUCACGAAGAUUGUUCUAUGCUCACGAUAAUAAACUUCAACUUUAUGCUUAUUCUGACUCUACUUGGGCGAGUGACCCUGUUGACCGUCGUUCAGUCACUGGCUACUGCCUCUUUCUUGGGAUAUCUCUUAUUGCAUGGAAGUCUAAGAAACAGAUUGCCGUGUCUCGUUCUAGUGCUGAAGCUGAGCUUCGAGCACUUGCUACUACUACAUCAAAGAUCGUUUGGCUUCGUUGGUUAUUGGCUGAUCUUGGUGUUUCAUGUGAUGCACCAACAUCACUUCUUUGUGAUAGCACUGCAGCGAUUCAAAUUGCUAAUGAUCCUGUCAAACAUGAGCUCACCAAACACAUCGGUGUGGAUGCAUCAUUCACACGCUCUCACUGUCAACAAUCAACUAUUCAGCUCCAGUAUGUUCCAUCGGAGCUUCAAGUGGCAGAUUUCUUCAUCAAAGCUCAAACUAGAGAACAACACAAACUCCAUAUUCUCAAACUCAAUGUUUCAGAUCCACCUUGAGUUUGUGGGGGGCUGUUAAGAGUAUUAGAGUAUUCCUUUGUGUGUGUUUAUGCUUUAUAUUUCAUAUAGUCUAGUCAGGCCCAAGGCCCAUGUAAGCUCUUGUAUAUGGUUCUAGUCAAUCAAUGGAAAAUCUUGAUUUGGUCUUUUGACACUCUUUUAGGUGAGAUGGCUAGAUGGGGUAUCUUAACAUUGUAUCAGAGCCAAAAGUCUCGAGUUUGAGUCUCAAUCCCCCCGCAUUUUCCCAUCAUUAUCCACGCCCACGUCGGGCGUGGGAGAGCUUCUUUCUUUCUUUCCACAUCACGUCGGAUGGGGUGGGGGGGGGGGGGGGUGUGUUAAGUAUCAAAUCUCUUCUUCCUAUCAUAUCAGUCUUUUAGGUGAGAUGGCUAGAUGUGGUAUCUUAACAAUUUUACCAUUGACUUUCCCUUUCCUAAAAAGAGUCAUGCCACAAGAGAAGAAAAAACAAUAUCUAGAAAGAAACAGAGUUAGCCUUUUAUCUUUUUUUUUUGCUUAGCCUCUCACCAAUUUCACCUUGUAGAGAUGAUAGUGCUUAUUUGGCUUAUUCAGUGUAAGUAACUUACUACAGUUGAAAGCAAACACACAUAAAAAGCCUUCUGAGCAUCCUUAAAAAAGUUGCUUAGUGUUUCAGUUGGUUGUGUAAGCUAGCUAUGUACUCCAUUCCAAAAUAUAAGGUGUAUUCAGUUUUCUUUUACCAUGGCUUAAAACUUAGCUUACGUGAUUCAACCAUUAGAGAAUACUUUUGAGUAUUUAUACAACCAUAUCAGAUUUGUCACACAGAUUAUGUACUAUAUGGUUGGUCAAAGGAAAACGAACGUCUUAUAUUUUGGAACGGAGAGAGACACAAAAUUGUUCUGCCUCUACUACACACCUUAUGGCUGGGUCGUGAAUGAUUCUAGUACUCGCAUAAUAAAGGGAAGGAGUACGUACCCAGUUUAAAGUCUUGGCUUGAUUUGUGGUUUGCGCCAAUGACCAAGCUGCUGGACUAUUAUUGUCGGCAACAACCGUCGGGUCUAUAUCCUCGUGAGACAAUAAAGCAGCAGCUGUCUUAGGAUUACACUUUUGGACUGCCAUAUGUAGAGCGGUUUCUCCUUUACUGGUUUGCAUGUUAACAAGUUUCCGGAGUUGAGGUGUCGCUAGAAUAAAUUCAACAAACUCGGUAUGAUUGUGAGAUAUAGCUGUAUGAAGGCAUGUCCAUUGCUUGCCAUCUACUGUGCAAUAAGGAGCGUCUGGACAAUUGCUAAGAAUCUCUCGAGCAACAUCAACGUGACCUCGAAAUGAGGCAGCAGUAAGGAGGGGCGCACCGGAUUUGGUUAGUUCAUACCCUAAAGAACAAUCAUGUUCUAGCAGCACUCGUAGCACGUCAGGCUUGUUAAAAAGUACAGCCACUCUUAAUGGUGUAUUGUUGUUCAUGUUAGCUGCUCUCGCCAUUUCAGGUCGUAUCCCCAUAAUUUUUAUAGCGCUGUCUGAAAAGAAUAAAUCAGGUCAUUAAUUGUGGUGUAAAAAGUUCAGGAAUCAUGGCAUGAACUAGCUAAGCUAGUACUCCCUCCGUUUGGGUUUAUAAGGCCCACGCGGAAUUUUAUGUCAAAUUUUGACCAAAAAUUACAUUGGUAAUAUGAGAUUAUUGCGUCACAAAAGAUAUAUUGUUGAAUUCGUAUUGAAAAACUAUUUAAGUUUUAUAUGCAUUAUACUAAAUAAAAUUUAAAUAAUUGUUGGUCAAAGUGUAUAAUUUGAAUAAUUAUUAGCCAAAAUGUGGCACAAAUUUCAAUACGAGCCUAUAAACCCAAAUGGAUGGAGUAGCAAGUAUGUUGUAGAGAUAAUCCUCAAAUUUAAAUCCCAUGGCAAGUUAGUACUUUGACGUUAAAAAAAAGACACAAGUACUAUUGUAAUUUGUACUACUCCAUAAAGCACACCUUUAUCCCCAUUUUCAACCACAGCAUGCAAACCAUUCCGUCCAGCAUGACUAGAAUCUGGAAUAUUCAACAGUUUCUCGAAAAUAUGUGCAAAACCUCUCAUCGCAGCGAUGAACAUAGGUGACUCGCCAUACUUGUCCACACCUUUGCACAGACCAGGCUCUGCUGCUAUCAACUCCAUCGCAAGCUCCCUGUGGCCGCUGCGAAUGGCAUGGUGCAGUGCAUUGCAACCAUCCUUGUCUUGUCGUAAGAUUGCAUCACUCAGCUGCCGUGAACGGCAGUAUCUGCUGAGUAAGACAGAAGCCAAGGAGACACGGCCGCUUCUCACUGCGGCGACAAGUGGCGUCUCCUUGUCGGAGUUAACAGCCGUGAGGAGAGACUCCUCUAGUUCCAGCACAUCCUUGCAGAAUCCCUCGUGACCAUGAACCGAGGAUAUAUGGAGGACGGUGUUCCCCAAGGGAGGUGUUCCAAGCAGAAUGCUUGGAUCCUGUGAAGCCAUGGCCUUCAUUGACCCAGAAUCACCAGAUGUCGCUGCUUGCAGGAGCCGUCUGUCUAUCCGUGGUUGUCCCUGUCCUCCCGAUGAACUUGGUGUCGUUGAUGUAUUGGCUGCCAUCUAUUUUGGGUUAAUUUACUGCAUAACAAAAGAUAGUUAUAUAUACUUUUAUGUUGAAAGAACUAGGAGAGCUAGCUGCAUACGGUCUUUGAAGGUUCAAAGGAGAUCAGCAUGUAAUAGAGCAAUAGUUCACAUGUACAAAAUUGGAGAAACGAUAACUUGGUAUUGAAAUGAAGAAAACGGGAUCAGUUACAAUACCUGAUUGUGGAAAUUCAGUGUAAUAUGAUUGCGGGACGGAUCCUCUUCCUUUGAAGGGGCAAUCACAUGAAAAUGGGGUCACUUAAAUCGUGUCAAGAGACAAUUAACUGUGGCAGAAUUCUAUUUGUAAAGGAAGUGAAACAAUUAACUGCUACAAGAGUUCCCUGAUAGACUGUCUCUUAUAGGGGCAACAAUACAACAAGACAGGGUUUACCUACUCAACAAGUAAAGGGAAGAACCCUUCAAAAAUAGAACAAGGAAAGAAUAUGCGUAGAGGCUGAACGGGAUUGAAUCCCCCAAUAUACUACAGUUUGCUAAAAAGGCAAAAGCUAGCAGGAUUGGAAGAGAUCGAAGAAACGUAUCAUGUAGAUAUAUUCAAAUAAUAAAGGGGGUUAGCUACCUAGCUUGCUCCUUGUAUUGGUAAAAGGUUGCCUCCUUGUAUUGUCAAGGUAUCCAGUAAAAUUAAGCCCCCAAACCUACGCACUAACUCUUCAAGGAAGAGACUUUGAUAUAGUAGUUAGUUCUGGGCCAUCUUCUUUCAGACUGUUGGUAUAACUUACAGCAGCUUGUGACAGCGAUUAUCUGAUUGGUUACUACUCACUACUUCUUGAAGAAGUCCGGAACUGGGAUUACAAUUUUGUAAGGCAACAGAGCACAGUGGAAUUACAACAGCUUUAAAGCAGAAAACUCAAUCGUGCUUACGUUACAAAGAUUAUUAGGAAGAUUAUGCCAUACAGAACAGGAAGGUACUAUGCGAGUUUCAGAUAGAAAACUGUCAAACAGUUGACAGAAUCACAAAAUAUUAUACAACACUAACAAUGGCACAUCAGGGACCAAACUGAAGCUACCUACAGCUGCAACGCUGAUGGGAGAUUUACUGGAUACUUCACUUCACUUUGCUGUACAGAUUGAUGAGAGCCGUUGGUGUUAGGUUGAAAGGUCGAGAAGCCACGAAUGGGGAGUUCGAGAUGGAACACCUGUGUCUACGAACAGUCACUGCUUAUUCAGUUUGUCUGGCUGAGAAAUUGCUCCAUCAGGGGGACCAUCUAAACUGCGACAUGGCCAAAUUGCACUGUAUAGUCGAACUCAAGUGGUUUUAAUUUGGCUAUUAUCUUAAUGCCUAUUCCCCGCAUCCACGGCCUGUGAACAAAACAAAAAAAAUCCAAUUGAUACUUUAGCACCGUUAAUGAUUUGCCUCUAUGGAGUAAAAACAAUAAUAAGCAACUAGCACUAUAUACCUAGAGGGUGAUGCUGUGUACUUACCACAAAACGUGGGGACCGACGCAUGCUAGAUGGCGUUGCAAGGGGAGAUGCUGCUGAUCGGGGAGUACGCCCUCUCUUUGCAUGCAUGUCUUGAUUCUUUGACCGACUUCGAGAAUGGCUUUGAUUGCUGGUGCUUUCGCUUGUGGUAUCAACGGACAAAGCCGGUGGUGACGAAGCUGUUAUGGAUGAUGUGUCUGGGCAAAAUGAACUUGCAGGAUGAACCCCUGCAUACAAUACAAACAGAACUCUCUAACAGGAGGUACAAAAAAGAACACACCAACAAUUGUGAAGCAUAAACAUAACAACCAUGGGAGAUUGGGAGGUAAACAUAUUUCUCUUCCAACAACAAACAUCUAUAUUCUAUGGAAUUUACAAAUGAACCUAUAUGUUCUGCCAAUUUGAUAAGAAUUAUGAAGUUUCUUGUGUACAGUUUGCCACAAUGAUGGCAGUCAUGGCAUGAAUUUCACAAACCAGUGGUCAAAGUGAACAUCCGCUGAUAAAGGAAGGAAGAUAAAAUGUUUUAACUAUCUGAAAAGGUAGAUAAACGUCCAUCCACAGGCUUCAUGCUUUACAUGGUUAAAUAACUAACUCGUUAACCAUAACUCAAGGUCAAUUCACUCUACUAGACAGUGGCACGGUGUUGGGCGAGGACUGAUAUCCUAUCAUCAUAAGAAUAGAACAGUUAACAAGUGCUAUUAAAUAGCAAACUCAUUUUUAUUUACACUGAAAGAUCAAGGAUAACCAAAACUUUCAAGUCAUGUAGUCUUGCAUCAUAUAUGGCCCCGAUAACAAUGAUAUUUGGAGGGGGGAAAUGGUGGAAAUUUAGGUAAAUGCUCAAUAUAUAUACAGAAAGCAGCUAUUGCUUCCCAUUCACAGAAUUACUCUGGCAUUUCAGGGAAGAUUGACUUGAUGCAUUUUUCUAAUGGAAACAUUAUGGAGUACCUUUCGUUGCAGCCGCUUGGAAUCUUGCUCUCAUGAUUCUAACAAACUUGAACAGAUCGUUUGUGCAGUUCAGAUCCUUCACCAAUUCUUCAGAAUCUUUCAGUAAUGGAUCACAUUGAAUUACUGUUAUCAACAAAUGAGAAUUUUAACAACUAUAAUUCUUAAACAAAUAAUCAUAUGUUGUUAAUAUUAGAUAGAUCGGUUAAGAAACUUGCAACUCACAGCUGUAUUUAUCUUUAGUGACCUUCAUGCAAAACAAAUACUCAUUGUCAGGACUUUGCAUGUUAACUUUGUUGAAGACAAAUUUAACGCCUUGAAACAAAAGAGAAACGUCAGACAUGAUGCUAACUUGAUUGACCAUGUUAUCGAAACUUUCAUUACCUUCCCCUGCAACAACUCGAAAACCAAGAAAUUUAUUGUACCAAGUAAUAGCUUCAUCUAGGUUCUUUUCCCCUGUCGCAUCAAUGUUAGCUUCAAGAGUUUCAACAGCUGCCAUCAAAAGAAGAUGCGUUAAGGCAUGUAGAUAUCAGCUCCGGAGCUCGAUAAUAUUGUAACAAAAGAAUAAUGUUGGCUCAAAACUCAAAAGAACGCCUCAAACUGAACUAUCUGCACCUCCUUUAAAGCCAACUAAAGCUCUUGUAGUUUCAUAUUCAGUUUAGAUUUUAGAGCCCAUCAAUAUUGUGGCAUUUCAGGUUACUGCUAGAACCGUGAUUUAAAUUGUAAUAUUACCUUCAAGCUGCUUAGAUAUGACGUUUGCAUAUUCAUCUCUCCGAGUCCUCUGAUCCAUGACCAAGUUGUUGAGCUGCUCAUUUGUUGUAGUGGCACUCGAAAUUGACUCACUGGUGCGCUCACAUUCUGAUCCUUUGUUUAGUUGGACUGCAGAGAAAGUUUACAAAAAUUCCAGCAUUUCCAUUAAAUGCAAUAGAGGAAAAGGGUACUAAGAUAAGAAAUGAGACAUUAAUCAAAGAGUGCGUGCAGCGAACCAUCCAUAAGGCCAUAACAAAAACAAUAAACGAAUUAAUGUACAUCCUGUUGUUGCAAAUCGCACAAGAGUGAUGAAAUGCUUGAAAUACUUACUGGACAGAGCUUCUGCAAGACCUGCUUCAAGUCCCCUGAACUGAUCCUUCAGUCUGUUGAGUUUUUCUGUCAUCCAAGAAUACGCACACAAGUAAGAGUAAUCACUCGCACUUUCAGCUUUAGCUCACAAAUCUCACUUGGAAUUUUGCACCGAUUGGUCGUCCGAAACUACAACCUCGCUUAGGAGGAUACAUAAAUUUGCAUUUAUUUAUAUGUAAACAAAAAUCAAAUAGACUGGCUCACUGCAAUCAAUGAACUUAACCUUAGGUCUCAAGAUCGACCACGCAUUUGGCAAUCGAGUUUCCCCAGAUGGAAACGGGAGAGCGCGAUACUAGGGAAUCCGGGAAUCGCAGAGGCGACCUACCUCGUUGGGCGACGGUUUCGUCGGCGAGCGAGCGGGCCGAGGCGAUGGCGGCGCGGAAAGCGUCGGCGGCCGCCGCCGUGCGCUCGUGGCCACGGGCGAUCUGCCGCUCGCACGCCGCGCGUUGCUCCGCCAUGUACCGGCACAGAUCUGCGGCGGCGGUACUGGAGCGCUCCAUGGCUCGCCGACGACUGAGGCGGCGGCUUUGCUCCGCUGCCCGUCCGGCCGGGUUUGGGGAGGAGAAGAGGAGCGGAUCGAGUUCAAAAUUUUCCAAACUCUCUCGCUCUCUCUUUUUCAGCGAACUGGACAGUUAGUUCAAUGGGCUUUAUUUAAAUGGGCCUUUGGGCCUUUAGUCAAGGGCUUUUCCCCUUUCAACAGAUAUAGCCCAGGCGGCCAGGCUACUGUAAAAGCGGAAAGAUGGUUUUACGUCUUCAUAGCUCACUUGCGUAAACCUGGCACGCACAUCGCGUAUUCACGUUGCUUCGCUCGCUGUGGACUGGACCCUAUUGAGUUCGCCUCUGUCUCUUCUCCAGUCCAACGUCUCUCCGGCGAUAGACGGCGCCCCGCCGUCGAGAUCCGGUCUUCUCUCUCUCGCCGCUCCGCUGCCGGGGAGAUUCGUCGGGGGGGACCUAGCGGGCGAGGGAGGCGAGAUGUUCGGUCUUCAGGCGAGCAGCGCGGCGGCGUCGUGGGUGGUGGGGCGGAUGGGGACGGACGCGCACCUCUACGACGACCCGGAGGACGCAUCCAUCCCGGCGCUGCUCGACUCCCGCUUCGACGCCGACAGGAUCGACGCGCUCAAGCGCCUGCUCGCCCUCAUCGCGCAGGGCGUCGACGUCGCCCACCUCUUCCCGCAGGUCCGGCAAAAUCCCCCCCUCCUCCGUGGAUCCUGGCGGAAUUCGGACUGAUCUGCGUGCGUGCGUCCGGUGCAGGUGGUUAAGAACGUUGCGGCGCAGUCGCUGGAGGUCAAGAAGCUCGUCUACCUCUACCUCCUCCACUACGCCGAGAAGUAAGCAACCCCCCCACUCAUUUUGCACUUCUGUUCUUCCUGUCCUGCCUGUAAUUGGUUGCUCCUGAUUGAAGUAACUCUGUGUCUGUGCUGAGUAUGAGACGGUUAGAACAGGUGUUCUGUCUGCUUCAAAACUAGUAAGGCAGAGAAAACUGUUGCGUGUAAUGACCUGUGAACAUAAUUGAUGGGCGCUUCCUCUUCAAUAGCAUGUUUAUUGAUGCUUGAAUUGGACCAUAGUAUGUCAAAAUUUUCUUUGAGAUGCUCUAGUUAAAGGAUUACGCUACCGUGAAGUUUGAAUCUUGCUUGACAAAACUGAUUUUUGAAUAACCAGCUAAGUUGUUUUCUGUGAUUACCAUGUGCUGCUCAAAGUGAUUUUAGGUUCUUUCUUGGUGUUGCUGCAGGCGCCAAAAUGAAGCUCUCCUUUCUAUUAACAUAUUCCAGAAGGAUUUAUCGGAUAUAAACCCAUUGGUGAGGGCUUGGGCCCUACGCACCAUGGCUGGUAUCAGAUUACAUGUCGUUGCUCCACUUGUGCUAGUGGCUGUAAAGAAAUGUGCCAGGGAUCCAUCGGCGUAUGUCAGAAAAUGUGCGGCGUAUGCACUUUGUAAGCUCUUCGACUUGCUUCCGGAGGAAAGUACAACUUUGGAGGAGGUUUGUUUUGUGCAACCUGCUGCUCAUUUUGCAUCGAUGCUCCACACUAUAUGUUUCUGAAGCCUGAUGAUGUUUUUUGCAGAUUGUGGAUGUUUUGUUCAGUGACAAUUCCCCGGGAGUAGUCGGAGCCGCCGCUGUUGCAUUUAAGUCAGUCUGUCCAAAUUGUUUAGCAUUGAUAUCAAAACAUUUCCGCAGGCUAUGUGAAACACUGCCUGAUAUCGAAGAAUGGUAUCAGAUUACUCUAAUUGAGAUUCUCUUGCGGUAUGUCAUAGCUAGACAUGGAUUAGUCAAGGAUUCUGUAAUGUUUGCUUCAAAUUUAUCUUUGGUGGCCCAGGGUGGUGUUACUGUUGAUACUAUGUCCUACACUCAACCAACAAGUGUUGGUGGGAUCAGUGGCACUAGGCCAAACAUCAUGUUGCUUCGGCAUUACAUUGAAGAACAUCCAGGAUGUUUUGAUAGGGAAGAUGAUAAGUUCAGCUCUCCAUCUGUCACUACGAGUACGAACGAUGAUGUUGCAAUUCUUUUGAAAUGCACAUCUCCUCUUCUAUGGAGCCAAAACAGUGGAGUCGUACUUGCAGCAGCAAGUGUUCAUUGGAUCAUGGCUCCAGUUGAGGAAGUGAAGAGAAUUGUUGGGCCGAUUUUGUUUACUUUGCGUUCAUCUCCUGAUGCAGCAUAUGUGGUACUUUCUAGAUACUUUUUCAUGGUCUUAUAUUUCAACAACUAGCAAUUAUACUGGUAUUUGCAAAGACUUUCUAGAUACUUUGAUGUCCUUUUGACAACCUUGACAGUGUUUUAUUGAGGCAUUUCUUGUGGACAUAAGAAUCUAAUAAUUUUCCUUCAUAUGAUGAUAUGUGCAAUUUCCUCGAUUUUUAUUUCUUCUUGAAUUGACCAGGUUUUUAUUCUUGCAGGUGCUUGGCGACAUACUGGUAUUUGCAAAGACUGCUCCAUUAUUGUUUGCUCCAUAUGAUGAGGACUUCUUCAUAUGCUCUUCAGAUCCAUACCAGACUAGGGCUUUAAAGCUUGAAAUACUGACCACCAUCGCCUCAGAGUCAUCUAUUCCUGCCAUUUUUGAAGAAUUUGAGGUAUUUGUUUGCAACUGUAUAUGUUGUUAUCCCCUCAAAAAAAAAAAACUCUAUAUGUUGUUAAGAUGUGUGUUCGAGAAAAAUUCUAGUUAAUAUUUCUUUACCCAUUCUGUUUGUGGAUGUUCAUGGUACUCUUUUGUAAAUCCUGCCAGGAUUAUAUCAAAGAUCCAAAUAGGAGAUUUGUGGCAGAUACAGUUGCUGCCAUUGCGCUGUGCGCCCAGAAGCUCCCCUCUAUCUCAUCCACUUGCCUUGAGGGGCUUCUGUCCCUUGUAUUUUAUGGUGAUGAUUUCUCUGGUUGCAUACUUUGUGGUGGAUUCUACUCUGUGAAUACUAAGGUUUUAUUUUUUUACCAUGUUACAGAAUCAUCUAUCACUAACUCAGUUCACUUGGACGGAGAAGAUAUUGUUUUAGUUCAAGCAAUCCUUUCAAUCAAAGCAAUAGUGAAAAUAGAUGCAGCUUCUCAUGAGAAGGUAUUAGUAUUGGAUACUUUAUUGCUUGUUAUCCUAUAGUUAUUGGAUACUUUAUUGCUUGUUAUCCUAUAGUGCGGCAGAUUUUUUUAAUUUGUUUCAUUUACGUGCCUAGAAACUAGGACUUGUUUGUAUGCUUCUCAAUACAUGGCUAAUGUGUUACUCUUGACCUUGUGAUUUUCAUCUGAUAAUCUAUCCACGUCAGUGUUUGGAAUGUAGGCUGUAUUGUACAACUUAUGGGCUUUCUUAUAUCACCCGCAAAUUAUCUUGGUCCUUUUAAUCAGUCAGUGGUAAUUUCCCUACUGAAGCGUGAAGGACUUCUGUAGUUCUGUACAUAUUCGACAUUGGAAUUUAAUACGACAUGCCAUAGUUUUUGUUGUCUUGUUAAAUAUUGACUUAUUUUCCAUGUUAAGUUCUUUUAUCUCCUUUUUUUUGUUUGUUUGAGGUAUGCUGUAUUAGUUAUUGGAACUACACUGAAGAACAAACGCGGAAGGAUGCCAUCAUGUGCUAUUGUUUGAAUGCAUAUCUUAUAUUUUGAUUUGACAUGUUCACAAUUCUUUUUCUCUGAAGGUGAUUAUCCGCCUGGUUCGCAGACUGGAUAAAAUUAAGCAGCCUGCAGCACGGUCCUUGAUUAUUUGGAUAUUUGGCGAGUAUAGCUCUGUAGGAAACCUCAUUCCAAAGAUAAUUCCACCUGUUCUCAAGUAUCUAGCAUGGUCUUUUGCUGCUGAAGUGCUCGAGACAAAGCUUCAGAUCCUAAAUGCUUCUGCAAAGGUACAUCCUAACUUAAGUUUCCUGCUAUUACAUAGGGGAUUGGUAAAAAAGUUUGCCUUUCCAGGUUAUAAUACAUUCUGCAGAAGAACACUUGGAAGAAUUCAAAAGGAUAAUGGCAUAUAUCACCGACCUGGCUGCAUGUGACUUGAAUUAUGAUGUCCGUGAUCGUGCACGCUUUAUAUCAAAUCUUUUGCCAUGUGGCAAGACCUCUUUAAAUGAAAAUGACUCCACAUGUCAAUCUCACAGUCAAGAUAUUCGUAAGGAGCUAGCUGAUCAUAUCUUUGGUGGGAAGAUACCUACAACAUCUCAUUCAGACAGCAACUACCGGAUUUAUCUUCCUGGUUCCCUGUCACAAGUUGUUCUUCAUGCAGCUCCUGGUUAUGCACCACUUCCAAAGCCUCAAAGUAUGGAAUUAAUUUAUCACACCAUAAAGCUGACCAGGGACACAGCUAAUUCUUCUGAAAGUAAUAAUUCCAAUGCUGAAUCUGAGUCUUCCUAUGAGAGUGGCUCUGUUUAUGAUUCAGAGAGUGAAGGUGGUGGCUUAUCUGACAAAGAUGCCACUGGAUCUAGCCAAUAUCCAAAUGAUGACGGACAUAACCUCCAUCACCGACAAGAUAAUCAGGAAGCCCCUCUGGUUCAUAUGUAUGAUGACAAUGUAGAUCAAGGCCAGACAGGUCGAAACGUUGAGGACAAUUUGUCAUCUCUCAUCUCUACUGAUUUGACUGAAUUAAUGUCUAAGUCAGCCUUGGAGUCAUGGCUUGACGAGGCUCCUGCUUUGCCAGCUGUUCAGGAAUCUAUGCAGAAAUCAAUUGCAAGAGUUUCUUUUACCAACCGCAGCUUUGAGCGAAAACCUAAACUGCAUACAUUGCUAGACCCUUCUAAUACUAGUGGUCUGAGUGUUAUAUAUGCCUUCUCAGCGGAGAUUUCCCCCAUAUCACGCUUGCUGGUAUGUAUAGACUUGUUUGUUGAGAAUAAUACAACAGACCAGUUGACAGAUAUAAUCAUUAAAUCUGAAGAGGCUUCUAUUAGUAAGGAUGAAAUGGACCAAACAUCAGAAGGAUCUGCAAGGUAUGCGCCAUCUGUGAUAUUUUUAUUUUUUAACAAACAUUUAUAUUGUUAAAUAUUAAAAUGUUUAUUAUGAAAACCUGUUGAUGGUUUUUAUUUGUCAACUUAUUUUACCUCGCAGCUCAUACAUAGUAAAUCAUCUUUUCCUGCAGCAUCCCAACUCUUGCUCCUGUGGAAGAGAUACGCUCGUUGGCUCCACAACAGACUGUGAAGAUGAUUCUUCAAGUUCACUUCCAUCAUCAUCUCUUGCCCCUAAAGCUGUCUGUUCUCUGCAAUGGGAAAAGGCAUCCAGCUAAACUUCACCCUGAUAUUGCUUAUUUUGUACGGCCACUACCCAUGGACUUGAAUGCUUUUCUUUGCAAGGAAAACCAGCUGAGGGGAGUGUUUGAGUAUGCUAGAAGGUAAGAAAGUUUCAUCCUAUCUUUGUUUGAGAGGAUGCCACUGGCUAGAUCCAGGUUGUUGAUUGUCAAACAUAUAUCCAAUAACUAAAUCUAUUGGAAUUGCAAUAGGUGCACCUUCAAAGAUCAUCUUCAGAAGCAUGGGUGCACUGAAGAGAGUACGGACCACACCGAUAAAAACCUUCUAGUAGCGCAGAGUCUUGCAUCAAAAGUACUCAGCAAUGCCAAUGUUCACCUAGUGUCAAUGGAUAUGCCAGUAACCUUCAGCAUCGACGACGCGUCCGGCUUAUGCUGGCGAUUUAGCAGUGAGAUUCUGAGCACUUCAAACCCCUGCCUAAUUACCAUCUUGGCGGAAGGUCAUACCUCAGGACCACUGGAUCUCACCGUCAAGGUGAAUUCUGAAGAUACGGUGUUUGGCCUAAACCUCCUGAACAGAGUUGUAACAAUCAUCGAGUGAAGAGAAUCUUUUAAGUUUUGCACAUUUAAUUUUACAGACCAUUUUGUCAAUACUGUAAAUUGUUGUACAUUUGUUUCUUUUAACUCGUAAAUUGUUGUACAUUACUGCAAGCGCUGAGCCGCUGACGGUUAGCAUAAAUGGGCAGUGGCUGGUGCUGUUACCAACCUUGUUCUUUUGCAUUAUCAGAGAUGUUCUGCAAGUUACUAAUGAUCACACACCCUUGUUUCUUUUAAGUGUCGCGUUAAUCUUCUUUUUUAUUAGCUGAUCGCAGUUCACAUUCUCUUAAUCCCAUGUAGAAUUUCAGAAUGUAGUUUUCGUAUCAUGGAGAAAUUAUACACCAGUCUACAGAACAUGCAUCGAAUACAUCUGUUCUAUACUUAACACUUAAUAUCUCAAUUAACAGGGCCUCUCACGCCAGAUAUAAAUAACGCCCUUAGCCAAAAAAGGCUGACCCCCUAAUCAGCUUACACUUUAUGAGCCGAUGAUCUACGUAUUAGAUAAGUCAUUCAGGGCCUAUUCAAGCUUUUGAACGCAGAAUUUCAUAGGAAAUAGCUCAAUUCCUACAUAAUUCAAGCAAAAUCUCCACGCUAAGCAGGAACAAAAAUCUCUGCGCCUAAGCAGUAACGAGGCUGGGCUCGGAGGGUGGAGAUGAUUCAAGCGGUUGGUUGGUCUCGGAUGGCGGAGAUGAUUCCAGGAGUGGAUUCUUUUGGAACUCAUUCCUGAGCUGUCCACAGGCUGCGUUGGCAUCAAGCCCACGGGUCUGUCGAACGCUGACUGUGAUCUUCCGAGAUUCCAGCGCAUCGACAAAAGCUUGAAUCUAUGCAAAUCAUCAAUAUAAACAUUAAUAAUCUCGAACACGGAACAAUUCUUUAUUAGGCAUUGCUCCUAAGCUGAGAUAAAUAGCAUACCGCUUUUCGGUAAGGCCUCUUGUACUCAGAACCUUCUACGGGGUUAUAGGGAAUCAGAUUCACGUGAUAACCACCUCCACACGCAUGCAGCAGCGCUGCGAGUUCUUCAGCAUGCGCCUUUUCAUCAUUAAUCCCAGCUGGGAAAAGAUGAAACAGUUCAGACAUGUUAGGUGACAAUGGCCGAAAUGAUAAUGCAGUUCUUAACAUCCACUCUCUGCAGACAGAUUUAACAUUCAGUGUGUGUGAACAGUAAAGGCAUAGCUGGAUUACCUAGCAGAGUGUACUCGAAGGAUACCCUGCGUCCAGUUUCCAGGAAAUAAUUCUUGCAGUCAUCCAUCAGUGCUUCCAAAGGAUAAGCCUUCGCACUUGGAACAAUUGUUUCGCGCAGUUUCUGAUUUGGGGCGUGCAGGCUGGUUCAAAUACAAAAGACUAGUCAGCAAACACAUUACAGAAUGAAAUGCUGCAUGUAGUCCAGUUCGUUUUAGUUAAGCUCAGAGUUGUGAAAAUAAGAAGACAAAAAAACAGUUCUUACAAAAAAAAGAGUAUCAAGCAUGUUUGACAAGUACUAAGCAUAAACCAAGACCAUACUAUCUAUCCUUGAGGAGAAGAAGACAGAUACUAAAUUAAUAAGAGCGUACCUGACUGCCAGUGUUGACUGAAGCUUGUGAGUUGCUAGCUUAUUUAUCGUGUUGGGAACGCCUACUGUGGAGAUUGUCAUCAUCCUUUGCCCGAUCUUUAGUUCCUGAAAACAAGAAAUUCAUUGUGUUGGGCACAUAUCGAAGCCUUUUAUUAAAGGAAUGCAGAGUAAUUUUUUACUCUGUAAUGAGUGAGCACAAGGAAGAUGCCUACUUGUCAAUUCAACAUACCUUAUUCAAGCAUCGGUGUGCCUCCAAAACUGCUUUCAGGUUCAACAUGGGUUCACCCAUUCCCAUGAACACUACAUUUGUCACCCUGUGUUUGAACGACUCCUCUAUGGCCAAUACCUACAAUGCCAGAACAUAAACCCAAAGUGCAACAAAAGGAAACACGAGGUCAAGGUAGCGAUAGGCGCAGGUUUUCUGGGAGAGAACCUGCUCAACGAUCUCAUGUCCGUGAAGGUUCCUCGCAAACCCUCCCUUCCCUGUGGCGCAAAACGAGCAACGCAAGGGGCAGCCGACCUGCAUAAGCAUCAUUAAGAUUGUCAAGAACACUGAGGUCAGCAAACCAGUGAUAGAAUCCAGAGUACCGGUUCCAAAGCACCUGUGAUGAAACGCAGGCGGUGAGUCGAGAUGAGCCCUUGUCGUCGACAGGGAUCCCCACUGUCUCGACCAACCUGUUAUCCUCCAACUUGAGAAGUAUCUGUAAGGAAGGACCAACGGAGAGUCACGAGCCGCUCCAACUUAUCAACCACACACUUCCUUUUCGACGCACAAAUGUCACAUGAACAUCGACGGCGUACCUUGGUGGUGCCAUCGGUGGCCGUCACGGCGUGGUGCACCGGCGACCGGCCAACUCUCCACCCCGCACCAACCAACGCCUCCCGGAACACCUUCGGCACUGCAUGAAUUCGAACCCCCAACAUCACAUCACGGUUCUAAGAACAACAGCCGAAGCAAAACAACAAACAGGUGGCGCGCACAAAACCACAAACACAAUCCAGCCCCCUCACCGUAUGCGAAUGCUUCAAUCUGCGUGGCCCUGUUCUUGUAGACGAGGUCAUGCAGCUGCUUCCCCCUGUAGCUUUGCUGCGCGUGUGAAUGCAUGGUGCCACAGUAAGCGCUGGGGCAAGAAACCAUGGGAAAGCAAAGGCGGGGUUACCAACCUGGCCGAGGUCGACGGCGAGCUGCCGGAGCUCCGGCUCUGAGAGGCCGAGCAGCGCGCGGCGAGGCGGCGUCGAGGCGGACCUCGCCGGAGCGGAGGCGGAGACGCGCGUGCUGAGGCGGAGCGCGCGCGCGAGCGGCACGGCGCGGACCUGCUGCGGCGCGGCCAUUCUUUUUCUCCUACUGCUGUUGCGAACCGAAGCUGCUGAGGAUUUGUAGCAGCCUCAUCCACUUCUCCCUCGCUAAUUUGCUUGGGCUUUUUAUCAUCCUGCCAUGUGGGCCUUAUAAACGGUUUCUUGCAACGGCCCACGAAGGAUAGAAGGAGAUGAUAUUUUUUUAGCUUAUGCUUUUGUUAAAACAAAAUUUCAUUUUUGGUCUUUUAAAAUGUUAGCCCUCCGUAGUAAAUUUCUGUUUUCGGAAAGAGGGAAGAAAUUCUUUGAGAGGUGUUUAGUUGAGUUUCAAAUGCUUUGGUUGACAAGUAGCUGAAGUGCAAGUGUGCAAAUGGGAUGCAUCCAUCUCCAUAGUCAAAAAAGAAAAUCUUGUCGCUGACUUCCUUUGGAAAUCUUAUGUGUUCCAUCAGUGUUUGUCCUCUGACUUUCUUGCGAACAAAAAUAAGAUCUUUUGGAAACAGAGACAUUCGUCCCGAACAAAAGUUGAAACUUGUACUUAGUACAAGAUAAACAGUUAGUAGAAAUUAGAAGCCGUUUCUGCAUGUUGUUCAGCUUAUCAUCAUAAACAAUCAUCCUGCCUAAGACUAGUAAGAGAGAAGCCAAAAAUGUAGGGGAAGAUCUGAAUUUCACAAGAACAAACGAAGAAGCGCUAAAUUAACAACAUUCAGAAACGAAACCAUCCUCUGCGGCUGCCUCUGCUUUACAAUUUCAUCUCAUCACUCGGGAGAGGAGAAUCAUCUACAGCAAAUUCUCACUCGCGCAGCGGCAGCGCCGGCAUCCGCCUGCCGUACUGCUGAUGCUGCCGCCGGUGCCACCCGCCCGCCGCCGCCGCCGCCGUCUCCGCCUUCCCGCCGCGCAUCCUGACGAACCCGCCGCCGCCGGCCGACGGCGGCGCCUCCUUGGCAGCGGCGUCCUGGAGCUGCCCUAGCGCGGCCACCACCUGCUCCAUCCCCGGCCGGUUCCUGGGGUCCCCGGAGAGGCACUGCAGCGCGAGCGCCGCCGCCUUCUGCGCCCCGGCGAGGGAGUACUGGCCGCCGAGCCGCGCGUCGAGGAUCCGGAAGAUCCGGCGCUUGCUGGUGAGGUAGGGCCGCGCCCACUCCACCAGGUUGUGCUCGCCGGAGGGGCGGUUCUUGUCCAGCGCCCGCCGCCCCGACAGCAGCUCCAGCAGCACCACCCCGAAGCUGUACACGUCGCUCUUCGCCGUCAGGUGCCCUGCCAUCCAAAAUUCACAUUCAGAAACCAAUGAUCCAUUUUGAAUCUAGUAGUACUAGUUUUUGUUUUCCCCAACUAGAUACUCCAUCCAAUCCACAGUCCACACUGGGCUUUUGGAAUUCAGAUUCCAUAGGUAUCAAUCAAUCAAUCAAAUUGAUGUUCUUUAUUUAGUUGUUUCUGGUUCGGGUUCAGAUGCUUCAGAGGAACAGACAGUGAUCCAGCUUAGCCGGAUUAGAUAUAACCCAACAUGGAUUAUAUUAGAUAUAGUAAACCAACAUGGAUUAUCAGUGUACGCAUCACAAGUAUUAUAAGGCGAUUGCACAGCUCAUAUACUACCUAGGAACAAGUAAACUAAGAAGAACAAGCUCUGCCACCCAUUGACCUGUUUGAUACAGAGCACAUGGAUGCUUAUCUAGCAACAAGAUUUUGCAAGUUUUUUAUGUAUCAUUUUUUCUACUGAAAUUUGCAAUUCCUUUAUGGAUCAUCACCUGCUAUUCCCUGAAAUUAAAAGUGUGUGGUGGUGGUGAUACCACUUGAUUAAUUAAUCUGGGUUUCACACAUCUGCUGGAUGGAUGAAGGGGUCCAGUACUCCAGUUAGGUCUGGAAGCAUGACUAGUUGGACCAAGUUGUGCUGCACACCUAACCCAAAGGAUUAAUAAGAGUAGUGUUCUUCACUGCUUCUCUUAGUGCUUCAAGACACCCACAAACUGCCAAACUGAAAAGAGGACUUUUAUUUUUCUUGGCAAACCUCAAAUAAUCCAACCAUAACUACUGCAUAGAAACAAGAUUAUUAUGCAUUCAACCCUGACGACAGGCACACUGGAGUAUCAUGCUCAAAGUUCAUCACACCUUUUGUUGGUAUAAACAAAAAUAUUUCCAUAUGUAGGAAUUGGAGCUUUGUGAAAUUUUACCUGUGGCAAGAUACUCAGGCGCAGCAUAUCCAUGGGUGCCCAUGACCCUUGUGGAGACAUGGCUCUUGUCGCCGGUCGGCCCGUCCUUGGCCAGCCCAAAAUCAGACAGCUUUGCAUUGUAGCUCUGCAAUCCAUACACAGAGUUAGCACCAGUAAGUUAAAAUGAAGAAAUUACUUUAUGUACCAAAUUAGAAGGCAGGAAAAAAAACGUACUGAAUCGAGAAGAACAUUUGAGGUCUUGAAAUCGCGGUAGAUGACCUUGGCCUUGUCGCUGUGGAGGAAGGCGAGCCCCUUGGCUGCCCCAAGAGCCACCUUCAUCCUCAGAUUCCAUGAAAGUGGCUGGAAAUGUGAGCCCCCUGCAUCAUCAUCAUGGUUAAUAUCCCAAUCUUGUUACCACCAUAUUAUCUUCAGUGACUAAGUUAGCUAGGGAAGUGUUCAUUAAUCAAUCAAUAAAUCAAGAAAGGGAAGGUUAGCUCUAUUACUCCUGAAGAGAUGGUUCUCCAAGCUUCCUCGCGGCAUGAACUCGUAGACGAGGAGCCGCUGUUCGUCCUCGAGGCAGUACCCGACGAGCUUCACCAGAUUCGGGUGCGAAAGCUGCCCCAGGUAAUUCACCUCAGCCUGCACAAACCACAUUCAUUCAGAGGCAGUUUCAGAAACCUCAGCAACUAACAGAUUGAUUCUGAAAACAGAUUCAGAACAUUCAGUAACAGAGAAGAAGAACUGUACUAACUGACCAGCCAUUCGCGGUGUCCCUGGAAGCCGUCCUGGUUGAGCUUCUUGACGGCGAUGACGACGCCGGUGCCGGGCCUGGCGGGGGCGAAGGUGUUCUCGUCGAUCCACCCUUUGAAGACGGACCCAAAGCCGCCCUCGCCGAGCACGCUGUCCGGCCUGAAGUUCCUCGUCGCCGUCCGCAGCUCCGUGAAGGCGAAGCUCUUCACCUUGGCCGACUGCAGGAUCUCCCCCUCGCUCCGAGGCGCCCUCAGCUCCGCGCUCUUCGCGUCCCCUACUCGAUCAUCAUCAUCAAAGAACAGACGAACAGAUCAGCUUAAGAAAAUCGAAAUCUGAACUUUCCUCUCUGAUUACGACAGGCGGAAAGGAAGAGUCUGGAAAAAGGUGCAGAUGUGAUGGCUGUAGCUAGGACGCCAUGGGAAGAAGAAGAAGAUACCUGAAGAAGGGGAGGCGGCGCUGCUCCGGUAAGGGCUGUCGGAGCUGAUCCUGGUCCCGAAGCAGUUCCCCAUGGCGACCGAUCAAACUCAACUCAACUCAACCCAAACCAGAACUCCAGGAAUUGAAGCAGCAGAAGGAUCGAGCUAGCUCGCCCAAGAAGAAGACGAAAUCGAAGCUCCUCCGAGAUGAGGACGGGCAGCCAGCAAGCUUUGAUAUAUACUGCUAGCACCACCGGCCGCGAGCUCUGCCUUUUCCUCUUUGUCAGACGGUGGAUCACGGGAAGCCUGCAGGAGCUCGAGCUCAGGUUGACCUCUCUGUCUACCUCUCCGGCCACUUGCGCGAGGAGGAAGAGGAAGGUCGACUGGGCGAGGGCAUUAAUGGCGGGCGGGGCUCGGCUAAGGGGGGAGAUCGAAGGCGAGAAGAAGGUGCUCUGCUCUUCUCGCCGGUAGCUUUCGCUUCUUCAUCGCUUCUCCGUAUAUAUAAACGACAGGCCCUUCUGUCCGCUGACAUGCGGGCCCGGCUGUCAGAGCCGAGUGGCGUGGUUGGGUGGGGAUCGGCGUGGGCCGUCGGAUGUCGAUCGGACGGACGAUCGUGGCCGUUGCUUAAGACAGACAGUGAGCUUUUUCGGUGUCUUAGGCAGGCUUGAAUUGGUAAUUAAACUGUGGGUGGUCAAUUUACGGCCAACAACGGCUUGCCGCCGGGGGAACGCUUUUCGGACAGGUGGAUUUGGAUCUUUUUGGCCCGUGCUAGACUGCUAGUGCGUGUGCUUCUUCGUUCUUGUUGUUUUUCUCGUUGUCUUCUUCUUCGAUGUUUCUUCUCUUGUUAUUGGUGCCGUCUUCUUCUUCUUCUUGCUCUUGAUCCGUCGCCUUCUCCUCCGCCGUUUUAUGCUCACAUUGGUCUAGCGUUGGUGUUGACCGGUUACGAAAAAAGGUGUGCGAAUUUAUUCUCGGGUAAAAAUCGUCAAUUGUGGUGUAUUUGACCCUUGUAGCACCGAUGGAGCGGAGAGGGGAACAAUCGAGUCCGUUGGGUCGUCAUCAGAAUAGAUUUCGCUCACCUUUGGGUUCACCAUAAAACCAUAAAAGGGGCCAAAAUGCUUCUUUGUUCUUGUUUUUCUCGUUGUCUUCUUCUUCGAUGUUUCUUCUCUUAUUAUCGGUUCCGUCUUCUUCUUCUUGCUCUUGAUCCGUGGCCUUCUCCUCCGCCGUUUUAUGCUCACAUCGGUCUAGCGCUGGUGUUGACCGGUUGCGAAAAAAGGUGGGCGAAUAUAUUCUCAAGUAAAAAUCGUGAAUUGUGGUGUUUUUGACCCUUGUAGCACCGAUGGAGCGGAGAGGGGAACAAUCGAAUCUGUUGGGUCAUCAUCAGAAGAGGUCUCGCUCACCUUUUGGUUCACCGUAAAAAGGGCCAAACACAUGUCCGAAUCCAAAUUAAUGACCUUUUCAACAUAACGAAAGUGGGCGGGGCGUUUGGAAUGGUAGUAUACAGGGGAGUCGAUGAUUGUCGGAUGACCAUCGAAGAACCGACUAUAGGAUGCGUGCUCAACUCGAGCAGAGAAAGGCAGACAUGAAAGUCACACUAUAAUAGUUUUUCUUUCGUUCAGUACUCCUUCCGUACCAUAUUAAGUGACUCAAAUUUGCCAAAAAUAUGAAUAUAUCUAUGCUUAAAAAACGUCUAGAUACAUGUAAAAGAAAGUCACUUAAUAUGGGAGUGAGAGGGAGUAUUGUUUUAGUUUGACAUGGUGCAGUGAGAUUAGUUCAGACAUUGUCCCCGCGUUGGGGUGUACACGGAAUGGGUGACGACGACAAUUCCGGCCUCGUUAAUUUUCAACGACCGUAACAAAACAAGAAAUGGUAAAAUGAAACCCGGCCAGACAGGUCUCGUGCGAAAUUGUCGUCGCAGGCAGGAAUUAAUGCCACACACACACGUGCUAUCUUUAAUUUAAUUACCUAGCUACUGCUCCAAAACCUUGAUUAGUUAGCUCGAUCCGUGUGGGUCAGUCAAUUACAAGAUCCACACAAUCAAUCAAUCAAAUCAAUUGACCCAACUGAACGCAGAUUACGGCGUUAAAACUAAAUUAAACUGAACAGAUGUAGAUUUGGGAUGGAUCGGUCGACGUGGACAGCAUGAGCAGCAAACUACUCUCCCAUGACAACACCAUGCCAUGCAACUAAUUAGCUAGCAGCAUGUCCUAAUAUAAUACCUGUCAUUUUUAACUUACGGAAGAAACAAAAAAUCAAUCAAUCAACUGUCUGAUCAACUGUGUAAUUAAUCCAUCGACGCUGCAGAUAUGGUGGUGUGGGUGUGAAUUGUGUGCGUCUUCGUCCAUGUAACUUAACAAAGCCGGUUCAGUUUAGUUAGUUAAUUGUGCUCUAAAAGGGGGGUCACGCCGGCUCUGUGCGCGAUGGUAGGUCGCCGGAAAAGAUGGCGGCCGCCGGGGGGUAAUUAGCUAGGCUUAAUUGUUGAAUAAUGCGGUGAUCAGAUUAAAAUCAGCAUAACCAUCAGUGCUCUCUGUCAUUAGUGACGUUCGUCGUCGUCACUUUGCAGCUAGGGACAUUUUAGUGCGAGCACAUAGCUUGAUAGCUAGCACACGUGCCCUUGAUUUAUUUAGAUAAGACGGUGGAGAGAUAUUCAAAGCUCGAAGCAAUCAGGAAAUAGGCAGUAUGCCGAUUAAGAGCAAGCAAAGAAAAGUGGUUGGCUCUGCUAGUGCUAGCUGGCUGGCCUGACGACGGGUCAAGUCAUGCAUGCAUGUAUAUACACGUACUACUCCGUACAUGUAGUACGUGUACUUGUACGGGUCAAGGCCUAUAGUUUUGUUAACUCAAAUUUUUGUUAAAUUUAGACUGAACUUACAACAAAAAUAUCAUCAUGCAGUGUCAAACCAAUUAAGAUGCUAUGGAAAUGAAAUUCACAACGCGUCUAAUGAUCUUUUGUUGAUAUUUUUAUGAUGGAAAUACUUUUGUUGAUAUUUUUAUGAUGGAAAUACUUUGUUGAUAUUUUUGUGGAUCUAAAUUUCACAACGUGUCUAAUUAAUGUUAUGAAAAUAUUUUUGUUAUAACAGUGAGCGGUGGUUAAACCUUAGAAAUUUGACAAUCAACAAAAUUGUUGUAUGCACUCGACAUUUGAAACAGAGGGAGUAUGUUCUAGUUACAAGGGCCUUGCUAGCAUGUAUAUGUGUCAAACGACACCAAUGUUUUUUUUUUUGCUAAUCCUUCUUAGAAAUAGCGAAACACAUUUAAUAAUAAGCAAUGAUAAGUAAAUUCUAUAGAGUGAAGCCAGCAGUGUAUUGUUUUUUCUUUGCUUCACACUGCCUAGCUAGCAAGGAAGCAAUGGAUGGAUGGAAUUAUUGACCAUCGUCCAUCGGUACCUUACCAGCUACCGUUCACCUUAAGUACGCUCUAUAUCUAGCUCGAGUGUGAAUCAGCCAGCAGCUAGCUAGCUGCUUUGCACCUACACAUAGUGUUCGUCGUCGUCCUGCUGCUGCUGCCCGUGAGCCUAGCUUUGACCAUCUACCAGUCCUAGCUAGUGUUAUUAUAUCGUACCUACGUAGCCCCCAAAGUCCAACUGGUUGACCAUUAGAAACCAGAUCCAUGGACGCUGGGUCAGGCUGGUCACUCGUGAACUGCACAAGAGCUGACCGGACACAUGCAUGCAUCUACAUUGCAAUAGAGGGCUAGCUGGGAGCUGAGCCAAAAGGUGGGUGUAGCUUUCAAGAGAAAGGCCAAACAAAGGUCAACUGGAUCACAUGGGCUUAUUUGCACAACUGUUCGACGUACGACCCCAACUGCCGUCCGGUAUAGUGCAGUGCCAGCUGAUCACUCUCAACUGAUCGAUCCCCGACCACAACUUGUACGUGUUCAGACACCAUGUAUUGUAGAUGCAGGUCCGGUCGGUCAGUACUCUCAGUAGUGUCCUACUAGUGUAUAAAUUAAUCUCAUUACUCGUAGAUUAGCUGCUAGCUAAGAGACUUAGCUGGCCUCUCUACUCUACCCGGUUGCAAAAGCCCACCAAGUCAAGCAUGCAUUAUUGCUGCAUCCAUAUCUACUCGAUCCAUCCAUCCACCCGUCUUAAACAAUGACCUUUUAAAUCUGCUCAAUGCAUUGCACAAUGUUUUUAAACAGGAAUUAAUCCCUGCCAUAUAUGUACAUAUAGCUUCCAUGUGAUCGAUGGAGCUCCUAGAAGCAGCUAGCAGUUGUUGACCUUUUUUAAUUAACCUCUGUCCAUUGUAUGUAUAGCUUUGGAAAAAGCUUUUUAUGCAUGCAUUGCAUCCAGCCGUGUAUGUAUAUGCAUGCAUGUGACCAUCCAAUCAAUAUCCAUCCAUCGAUGUGACUCUAUCUAUAUACCUCGAGAUUUUGCUAUACGAGUACAGUAAUAACUCAAGAGCAGACGAUCUGAACCUUGUAUAUAUGCCCACGAUGCAAUAUCUGUUUUUUCUUCUUGUAUUAAUUCUUCUAAAACUAAAUUCGAAAGCACACGAGAUCAUCACACACGUGUGCGCGCAUCGGCCGAUCUUUUAUGCAUGCCAUCUAUAUAUGCAUAUAUACCAGCUGUAGAGAUAUAUCCGAUAACAAAAAUAAGGGAAUUCGAUCGAGGGGAACGAGUUUAAUUAAGGUAAUUUUUGUUUUUGUCCGGUCAAUAAAAUAAAGUAGAGUAGGAUCGGAAUAUUUGUUUUCUGCAUGCAUGCGCAGCGGCGGCGACAAGUCAAACGAGCAUGGAUGAUCGGUGCAUGGAAGCGAUGACGUCACGGAGUGCAUCACGGUGACACCAACAGCCACGUGCAUGGUCUCGUCGUUUGACUUUCUAAGUUUUUUUUUUGGCUCCGUGUUGGCUUCUGCAUGCGUUUCUUCACAUGUUGUUUCCUCCAACUACAAACUUUCCUUUUAAAAAAAAAACUACGAACUUUCCUAUAAUGGUUGCUCAUUGUUCUUCUCGCCCCUGUGACAUUUAAUUAAACCCAAGUUCCUAUAUAACAAGCCUACGUACAAUUUCGUAUAAUGAUCACUUAGGUCCUAAUUUUAUUUUAAGUGCUAGUUUUAGCCUGUUUGACCUGUCUACGUGGCAAGUUGGCCCGGGGCAACAUUCAAAAGCAAUUUCAAAGGACUUUCGUUCAUAAACUUGAAUGUGAGAGGAGAAUGACACAAGUUUAUGAAUGAAACUCAUUUGAAAUUGAAAUAAAACUGCUUAAGAAUUUGAAUGUGACAAGUGUACCGGGUCAGCGUACCACGUAGGUGGGUCAAACUGGUCAUAACCAGCUUAGGACCUCGCGUGCACAAUUAAAAAUAAAAUUAGAACUUAAGUGUGCAAUUUCAUAAUUUUAGGAGUAAACUGACACCGCAUCAAUAAUAGUAGGACCGCAGGUGUAUUUACCUCAUGGUUAAACGAGACCAUUCAUAUCCAAUGUCAGGGAGGACGCUUUUAAGCAUACGAGCAGUGUAAAGACGAAAUUACUUUUCAUUUUCGGUGCCUUGGCCUUGGAUAAUGUGAUUUGUUCUUGGACAAAAUAAUGAGUUUUUUUAGAAACAUCUGGUUUUAUUGAUUCAAUAAACAAAGUACAAGUAAUCGAAGAUGAAACGAAUAACCAACAACAAAAGGCCCUAAUGAAACUAAAAGUUACAUUAAGAUUCUUUGAAGUAAAUAACUCUUGAUCCGUCAUCCGUAUCUUGAAAACUCUCCAUGUCUCCAACGAUGAAAUUGCAGAAGACCAAAGCUGCACAAGCUGGACUAAACUUAUAGGUUUGAAUAGCCACAUGAGUCGCUCACCGCAACCGAUGAGAACCUAAUAUCGUUGAACGCACUCUGGCCGGGGACACACCCCUUGCAAGGAAGGUUGUCGAUCUGCUGAUUCGUCGCCGAACCAACUAGAAAGAAGACCAAAAAUAACGAAAAAACAAACCACGAGAUCCACUAGCUACAUGGAGUAGAUCGUGUUGACUACACCAGGAAGAGGAUGGAGCCGGAAGACUAUUAUUCCAUAUGUCGUCGCCUCCACCAAGACGCCAUCGCAAGGAUACAAAACCUCACAAAGAAUGUAGACAAACUGCAGUCAGACGUUGAUCUAUGGUUUCCCUCACCACCCGAUGCCUAAUCGGCGGUCGGAGACGAGGGGAACCGGAAGAAAAAGCGCUGAUCGGAAAACUCCCGGCGGCCUCCUGGCGGCCAGGGCUUGGAACGGGGAAAUUACGCAAUAAUGAGUUUUUUUUAAUCCGCCGGGCCUCACUCUUAAUACAAGAGGCUUGGGCCAGGACAGAAGCUUCUGAUCCGGGCCUUCAGUUGCAGCCCAUUCCAUUAGCGGGCCGAAACUACUAGUACAUUAGUAACAUUACUCAGAAAAUACUGGCCCGGUAAGAAAAGGCGCCAAGUUUCCUGAAAAACGAAAUAGAGGCGCGAAAAGUAGAACCGAGCCUCUUGCUCCUCACACGCCGCCGCUCGUCUUCUUCCCCCAAACCCUAGCACGGCGGCGGCUCAUGGCGGGGCAAUCGGACCCGCACCUCUCCCUCUUCUCGCCCUCCGAGGUAAGACCCCGCCCUGCAUCCGUCCGCCCGUCCGCGCGCGUGUAUCAACAUAGGACCUGUUGCCUCCUUGCUGCUGGCGGUCAGUGGAUCUGUUUGAUGAUGAGCGCAAUUUUGGUUGGUUGGUUGGUUGGUGCAGGUGGAGUUCGUGGCGGAGGACGAGAUCGUGGAGAUCGUCCCCAACAUCCGCAUGGAGGCCCUCAACAUGAUCUGCGUGCGUGCAUCUAACCGAAUCCCAAUUUCUUUCUUUUUUACUUGUCAGUAUUCUUCUUCUAGUGGUUUGCUGUCUAGUGGUUGGUUGGUUCCUUACGAGGUUUCCAUGGAUAUUAGUUGGGUUUUCAGUACUCUCUGGGCGUUCUAGUGAGAGAGCUGUGCUGAUUUCAGAGUCCAGUUGGGUUUAAUGCAGAGGGGUUGCUGAUUAGAAGGCCCCAGCUUGUGUCUGUUUUUGGCUAACAUUGUGCUCACACUUGUCACCGUGCAGGGUGAUUUCGGGCCCUUCUUCCCGCAGAUUGCUAGCAAGGUCCCACUCUGGCUUGCUGUGGCGCUCAAGAGGCGUGGCAAGUGCACCAUACGCCCACCCGAGUGGAUGACUGUUGGUGAGUGUUCGAUUGCUUAAGUAGCUUUAUCUCCUGGCAUACUUGUAUCCUCGUUAUAGGAUUGAUUGAUGGUGCGGAAAUGAAAAUCAUACAUGGGAGGGGUUCUGUGCCUCUCUCUCUAUCGUUGAUGCGUACAACUGGCACAAGGCGAAAUGCCUAGCCACUGCACUUCUUUCUGAAAGAGGAUUUUUACGGUACCCCGGUACUCCAUAGGUAGGUGAGCGAGUACCAACCAAAUCUAACCGUCCAUUUAAAAGGGUGUUUUGACCUUUUUUUUGUCGUAGUUAAUUUAUAUUUGGAUUAUAUCUAUUUUCCUCCUAAUUUCCCGAUCAAGUUCAUAUUCCUCUCCUGAUUUUCCGAUCAAAUACAUGAUGCCGUGCGCCUUCCUGCACAAACUGCGCCGCCUUCAGCUGCCUGCGUAUGGCAGGUUCAGGCUCGGCGGCGGCAGCUUCCCGUCCAUGGCGCCACACAGAUCUCAUGGAGCCCUAGAUCGAAGUGCCGGCUGCUAAUUUUUCCCUGUGGAUGGAUGGAUGCGAGUCGAGGGCGGCUGGUGAUGAGUCGGGGAGGGGUGGGGAAUAAAUGAGGGGCGGACAGGCGGAGAGGUGAGCGCCGGCGGGGGCUGCUGGCGUCGGUGAUGGAGUUGAUCAACUCCAUGUCUGCAUGCUCGUGGUGCCCAAAUCGUCCCCAAAUCCCAAAUAUGAGACUGCUACAGGCCUGCGUGCUCGUCAGCCUGGGCACUUCUAGUUCUUCGACAGUAAUUACUCCUAGCAAUUACGCGCGUGUUCAUCACAUUGGGAGAGCCCAACGUGCUCUUGGAGAUUAAUUAAGUUUUACCAUGGAACGGAUUAUAUCCUGUGCUCAUACUAAAACAAGCAAGAUUUCGUGAUUCUUUUCUUUGAACAACAGUAUUUCCUCUAGUUUAUUUCAGAAUUAUUUUUUAUUUUUUGACCACACAAUAAAUUAAUAGAUUACGGUUUUACCCCUAACAUCAAGGUACUCCUUAGUUAUUGGAGACAGUACUCCCUAUGAUCUCUAGUGGAGUACCACGUAAUACUAACCGUUAGAUUAGAGAAAAUAGACGGCUCAUAUUAAUCCCGGGGUACCAUAAAAGAGCUCUUCUGAAAUUGUUAAUAAGUGCUCAUUUAUUCCCUAAAUAUCAACAUCUGGUGAAACUGAAACUGCUUAUACCUGAUAUAUACCUGGUUUUAUUUUGUCCCUCUUACUAUUUCAUACAUUCUAGGUACUUAGCUGCUUAUUUUCGUCCUUUAACAGUCUGUUACUUUUAUUUGCUAGAGCGCCUGACGCAGGUGUUGGAUGCAGAAAGAGAGUCACCUAGAGAAUUUCAGCCAUUACCAUUCCACUAUAUUGAGAUAUCUAAGCUUCUGUUUGAUCAGUAAGCAUACAUAGCAGCUUUCUUAACUCCAUUUAUUCUGUAAUAAGAAUCUGUAAAGAUCCGUUUAGAAACAACAUGUAAAGCUUAACUCUCCUUUCUUCGUUUUGUACAGUGCUCGUGAUGACAUCUCAGAUGCAUACUUGGUAAGUUAUAAACAAUUUUGACAGGAAUCUGAACUGUCUAGUUGGCUUUGAUCUUCUUAAAAUUUCUUAAUUGUAGCUUUGACACAGGUGAGAUCUUUGAUUGAGGACAUCAGAGAUGUCCGGUUCCAUAAGGUUGAGACUGGAUUGGAGACAAUCUCUGGCCGUACUCAUGCUGUGAAGGUAACUUUAUGCCUACCCAGCUCCAGCCAUCGAACCAGUCUCUUGAUGUUAUCUUAUGGUACCCAAUGGUUAACCUUAGAGAUCUAUGAUUUAUAAUUAGUUAUGAAUUUCGGCGGAGCCUGUCAUACAGCUCUGUUUGCGGCACAUCGGCGCUAUUACUACACACAGCUUACUAACAAUACAGCAAAGUUUGCUUUAUAUUUGGCUCACUGUUUAUAAGUUAAUAAUAAGCUUGAUUUCUGAUCACUACCUGAAUUUUCUUUUCCUCCAUUCUCACAGCUAAAAAAUCUCUCUGCGAUGGAAGUGAAUAUUGUCCGUCCUUUCAUGGUGAGAACUUUGCAGGCAUUUUACAAGCAUGACAGCCCACAGAUGAUUCAGCAAGCAGAUAAUACAGGGAGCAGCAGAUCAACACCAGUCACAGACCGCGGUCCAAGAGUAAGCCCUAUCUUUUGUAGACAUGAUCUGUUCCGGCUUGCUAUAAAGUUGUUGUCUUUACCAGAAUUGGCGUGCACACAAUUGUCUACCACAAAACUGGUUAACAUCAUCAAGUGUGUGCAUGCAUAUGAUGCAUAUAUAAUAACUCCCCUGGAUAUUUCGAGUAGACAUAAGAUUCAGUACUUCAUAUCUGUUCACCACAAUCUUGCUUCUGAUGUCAUGUUGAAUAAAGUCCUUGCUCAAACACAUGAACUAUUGAACUCUUAUUAGCAUGGUUUGUCAGGAAAAUUUCCACAUCACAAUUUUGCCUCUCUUUUUUAAAACUUUUGCAGAGAGAUCUAAGACACAGAUAACAAGCAAGAUAUGCAUGUACCAGCCACUUGUAUUUGCAGAUGAUUUACUGCAUAUACAUGGAUUGCAGUAAAUUGGAGGUACUUGAUUUGCUGUAAUAUUCUGUAUGUUACUUGCUGAGAAGCCACUUAAGUUCCUGCAGUGUGGCUUCUGCUACUGUACUGGAUACUAAAGGCGCCAAGCUUAUCCGUUAGCCAUAAGGAUGUGCUAUGAGAAAUGAAUCGACUGUCACAGAAGAUCAUUCUCAUGUAUUUCAGGAUGAAUAGUGUUUAUGUUAUGUAUUUCACUAUUCCAGGCAUAAAGUAAAUCAGCUGACUCUCUUGUGUAUCUUGUUUAUAGCUGCUAAGUUUCUUAAAUAUUAAUUUCUUUUGGUGAUAUCCUUUUGAGCUUCAUGUUUGUCUAUUAUGCUUUGUUAAUGAUAUGAAGGGAACAUGAUUUAGUGUUGACAACAUGUUCAUUAUUGUCUCAGCUUAUCUUAGGUUUCAACUUUUCCAUCACAUCAGAUUAAAUGUUUAAUUUCUAGUUUGAGUUAUCUCAUGAAACUUUCUUUCAAGUGGGAGCAAGUAACAAGGUCCCCUGCGUAUGUAAGGAGCAUAAAACUUGUUCCGUUGCUGCAGGGACAGAGCUUACUUACAACCAAUAUGGACCAUGCCUUCCAUUUAUUCGUGUAAACCUUCUGCAAAACUAGAUGUCAUUUUUUUGGUAGAAUAGGCUUCAGAAUUGAAAUGGCAACUUCUCACUUGCAUAGUUCACGUAUCAUUUGCUAACAGCCCUGCCUAAAGGUUGAUGUUAACCUUUUUUUGUGAAAUGCCAAAUCAACUUGAAUCAUAUCUCCAGAUUGGGAAAAAAGGGUAUCAUCUCAUGAUAAUAUCAAAACAGUCCCGGGUAUUUGCAGGUCACAGUUGUGAUCAAGUUGCUCCGUGCUUACUACUUAUAUAGAAAAAAAAGCCUCCAAUGGCUCUAUGCUCUUAUUUUAGCAACUUGGGAAAUCACCAGCUAGAAUGGCCAUCCUGAGCUACCAAUUAGGAAUACUGGAAGCCCCUAAGCAAUACUAACUUGUCGUGCCGUCUUGGACAACCAUACCCUGUCAAAUUGGAGAACCUUUUUUGUUUGUUAGCGAAGCAUACCUGAUAUGUCCACGGAAGCAUCAAAAGCGCAAAAUGAUAGCUGACCUUUUACAAAAAAAGAUCAUUGAAUCUGAAUUACAUGGCUUAUGAGCACCUUUAGGGAAAGCAUGCUAAAUCGAUACUAUUUCCUCUCUGGGUUUCGUGAACUAGUGGCUUGCAGUUCUUUGAGAAAGCUUUCGGUGCUUUGAGUAACUGAACAGCUGGAGAUCAUGUUUCUCUUGUCAAUUUUCAUUGAGAAGACUGGUGAAACACUCCACGAUCCCAUUGCCAGGCGUUUCUGUAAGGUGAGUUUUAUACUACUGCUUAUCUGUGAAAUGAUGCCUCAUGAGAUGAGAUCGAUGCAUCCAAUCCAUGCAUACAUUCUGUUAUAAAUUAUAUUCUAGCCUGCCUGCCUGCCAGCACCUGUUUUCAUUUCGGAUAGAUUGGCUUGCUGACACAUGAACCUGAAUAAAGAAAGUGCAAGGGCUCUCACCUCACAUGGUGGUCCUUACACUGUCUAUCCCCAACAGACCACACAGUGGAAUGAUGGAUCCAAAGUACAGUUUGCUGCAUAGCAGAGCAGGGUCCAUAUUCUUCCUUCUUUUUGUGUAGAACAGCGAGCCAGGCAAUUUGGCAUCUGGAACUGAUUGAUUGAUAGCUCUCAUUGUGUCCUGAACCGGUGCAAGAUUCCAGACAGGCUAUGAAAUGAACAGGAUGAGCCAUGGCUUUUGUUAUUGCAUCAUUAGCUUUAAUUAUUCCUGGGCCUAUCUAGGAGUAUCCACCAGCAUGCAUUUUCUAGUGUCUAGUGUGGUUCAUCCUGUCUAGAUGCCAUCAGUUUCAGGAGGAAUGUGAGUGCCGACAUAUGGCCUCAACAAUCCUGUGCUUGUCUUUGGUUGUGCAUUAUUGGUAUGUUGCUCAUUAUCUUAAGAAAUAAAUUGUUGGUAAUGUACUACUAGCUGGGCACAAUUCUAGAUCAACCGAGAAUAAUGAUAGGUUCUGUUAUUGCACAUAUGGUUGUUUAUCUAAUAUUCCACUUGUCAACAUUUCCAGGCUAGCCUUUUGCAUGCUUGUUGGGUGCUUCCCCCAUUCCAAAAUGCAUACAUAUACAUGAUCGAUGUUCCAAAGUCCAAACACGGUUUCCAAGAUCGAACUCGAAACGUUUGUUAGCAUUACAUGAAAUAUUUCCCAGGGCAAAUAGAAAUCUCAUCUGGCCAUCCACAAUAAUAAUCUCUUUAUAUAGCGGCAAUCAAGGUUUCUGUCUUGGAACAGAGUCUGUUUGAGCAUUGUUUACACCAUUGUCAUCUCUUUAUCGUUUUCGAUCUGAGUUGCAUAGCUGGGGUUGGGAAUGAAGAUGAGCAGCAGCAGCAGUUAAUCUGCGCCUAAUUUAAAUUUGAUGACUAGCUAGCUUUGCAUCUACAUCCAGUCUUAUUAUUAUUUCCCUGUCAGUGUCAGAGUGUCUGCAUCUGAUUGAUCCUACAGGACACAGGUAGAGGGUAUUUUAUAUGCGAUGAGACUUUUGACAAACGGUGGUAGUAGAAGAAAGGCAGGAGUAUAUUCUUUUGCAUUAUCCGGUCUGUACGGGACCUUAGAUCCAAAAAUUAGGACCUGGGACUUGACAAUGGAGCUACUUGGUACUAGUAGUACCUCCAAUUUUAUUUGGCCAAGCAUUGUAUUUUUACUUGGUACUACUACCUUCAUUCCUAAAUAUAAGAUGUUCUAACUUUGUUUUGAGUCAAACACUAAAAAUUUGACCCAGUUUAUAAUAUACUAUAAAAAUUACAUGACAGAUUUAAUAAAAUAAAUUUAGAGUCGUAAAUGUUGGCAAUUUUUCUAUGAAUUUGGCCAGACAUAGGUAGUUUGACUUGAGACAAAAUUAGAUCAUUUCAGUAGUUCUCAACUGCAGCAGUACUGGCUAUGAUUAGUUUAAUUGAAUUAAUAAAAUUUUGAUGGAGCAAGUCUUUGGGCAGGUGGCCCUCAUUGGAUAUUAGUAGUUUUUAAGUCUUUGGGCACCUGUUUUCAAAGGGGAUCACAUGUUUUCCGUGGCUGCUGUUGAGCUUAGCUAAGCGGUCGAUCGAUCGAUGAUGAGCGUCUCUUCUGGAAGCUUCCUGGAGCCUCUGCUUGCUUCUUGUAGCUGCAGAGCAACGCUCAGCCGUUGGAUUUGGAUCUCGAUCGACUUGCCUCCCAAGCCAAAUUUUUGGCAUCUCCUGAAGCGGCUAGCUUCUUCCUUUUUUUUUUUCGUGACACACUCCAGAAGCACCUAGCUAGCUAGGAGCUGUAGAACGAUUAUUAGUUAAUCGUAGUACUACCUUUAAUUCUAAUUUGCUUUCGGCGAAAUAAAGGUGAAUGAAUAAUUGAAGUACGUACCCGGCAGCUAGGCUGGUAAUAAUAUAUACUCAUCGGCCAAGAUUUAUUUAAUCAUGGCGAUACUCGGAUCUUGAUGAAAUGCAAUUAAUUAAUCGAUCGACCGGGACAAGUAGCACGAUCAGCAGCCGUAAGCCGUUAGUUAAUGGGCACAGUAUCUGUUUAAAUAAAAAGAGUGAUCAAGAUGAGCAGCAUUUUCUGUAAGCACGGCAGCUGGCUGUGUGUUGGUGGUCCUAUAUGAUACGUUUGGCGACAUUACUUGGGCGAUAAUCCGGCUCUUUUGGAGUAACUUUCUUCUGUCUGUACUCUUCCCGUGUAUUGUAGUAUCCAUAUGUGCAAUUAGUAUUGAUAACUCUUGCAAUUAUGUGACCAGAUCUGGUCUGAUCCGGACAGCUGAUGCAUAGUAGGCCCCACAUUACUAAUUAAUUACUAGCCUAGCUGGAGUACGUACAACAUAUUGGCAUAAUUACCAUAAACCUCUUCUGUCUGUACUCUUCUGGUUAGAACAUAGGAAGAACUUAAGCUGCAUUUAGCAUUCAGGAAAAUUACCAUAAACCUCGUUUCCCCACAAAAAAGUCUGUUUUAACGUAAGAAAUCGCCUUAUUUCUAGGAUAAGUUGGCAAUGCACAUGUAGAAGAACACGUACGUACGCAGCAUCCGAUUUUUCUAAGCUUGCUGAACACUUAAAGUAAAGAGUAAUUUUUUUUAUUUAUUUUGGCAGGAACCGAGAGAGGAUGAGUUUUUACCUGUCUUGUGCACCAAGAAAGCACACCACUUGCCUGUCAAGAAAAGAAAGCACCGCGAGCUUGCACAUGCACUCAGGGUAUCAAAACAAUUCAUUAAUCGAUCGGCUCCCAAUCAGGAGAGCAGAGCACACACAGCUAAUGACCCAACUAAUCAUGAUCCUCCACGCGCUAAUCUAAUCACCCAUCUUAAACUAAUCACGACCCGCCGCGUGCUUAACCUCUCUCUCGAAUUUUAUAUGAUGCGAUUUUGUUUAACUACGGAUGUACCGAGACGCAUUUUAGUGUGUAAGUCGAAUCAGAAGAAGCAGCGGUGGCACCUAACCUAAACCCCCAAAGAAGGAACCAGAAUUAACCGUCCGAUUAAAGCUGGCGUCCGAUCCGACCGUCGGAGAAGCCCGGCCCGAGGAUCCGACGGCCGGCGACGAGAGGAUUCGAAACGGUAAGUCAGCCGCUUCCCGCCCCGACCGGUGGGGCCAGCGUGUCAGACGCCACCAAACCCGCUAUAAAUAAGGCGUUGGCUUUUCCUCUCCCCAGUCGUCUCGUUCGUUCCCCCUUCCGCGAGAUUUCGCCGAUUUCUCGCAGAGAGGGAGGAACCAAACCCAAAUUCCCCCACCUCUUCUUCCUCCGAGGACGAAUUCCAAUUCGCGGGGGCUUCUUCUUCUUCUUCGCUACGCUAGCUUCCUGGUGGUUUCGAAUUCCAGGGGCCGGAAUCUCUUUCUCCGUUUCGUUUGAAUUUAUUUUCUGUGGGGGCGUUCGUUCGAGCUGUUGUUCUUCGGCGGGCGGGCGAGAUGAUGCUGGUGGCGAAGGAGUUCGGCAUCUCGCCACCGGCGGCGGCGGCGGCGGCGCCUCGGCGGAGGAUGGCGAGGGUGGCGCCGUGCGGGGGGUCGUCGCCGGUGGGGGAGCUGUGGCUGCGGACGCGCGGGGGAGGAGGGGGCGCUGCGGCGGCGGAGGGGGUCGGGAGCCACGGCAGCCACGAGAGCGAGAUGGACCUGGCCAUGCUCGUCAGCGACUUCCUCGAGAACGGCGGCGGCGGAGGGGCCGGCGCCGGGGACUCGCGCGGCAGCAGCGACAGCGAGAACGGACUCUCAGACCUCGCCCACCUCGCCGAUAAGAUCUCGGUACGCAUAUUCACCUACCUACCCUACUUUGCUCCUGUUGAUGUUUUGAUGCAGUUGGUUGAAUUUGUUCAACAUUGGACUGGAAUUACGCCAGUUAGGCGGCUGUUGACGUAAAAAAAAAGGUUGAGGGGGUCAAAUUAGUACUGUACUUUCUGAAGAUAUGAUGUGACUGCAUUUUUUUUAUUUUUUUGGAAAUCAUGUACCAGUUGCUUUCAUGUGAAUUGUCGUUAGUAUUUAUGUUGCUGCUUGCCUGUUUCUACAGAAUUUACUCCACGACCACAGUGCAGAAUUUGUGCAGUUGUUAACUGUCGUUUCUAUCAUUGCCUUUGAAGUUUUGAGUGCAUAUGAAUUGUCGUUAGGAUUUAUGAUAUAUCCUGGCCUGGCCUGGCAUGUUCUGUCUGAAUUCAUUCCAUGACAUAUAUGUCCUUGGCAUGUUUGGUCUGAAUUUAUUCCACGACCAUACUGCAAAACUUGAUAAUUAGCGUGCAUACUUGCAGUUAUAAUUUUAAUUGCUGUGUACAACUGUAAGGGUCUAAUAGUGUAGCAUUGAUUCGAUUUAGAUUGUACCGUCAAACUGUUGCAGCACACUGGAAUUAUACCUCUGAAUAAUGUGAAAAUUACUCCCGAGUAAAAAAUCAGUGGCCUCAUCAAGUCUGAUCCAGCUAUGUGCAAGUUACACUUUUGGCAGUUCCUAGUAGUUUUAGCCAACUUAAUGAUUGAAUAAAUUACUGUUAGCUACCUUCUGAUUAGUAAGCUUUGUAUGCCUGAACUUACGACUAUGCAUUUCAUUUCAGAUGUACAAGCAAGGUGGGGAUGAGAAAGAAAAUGAGCUGCUCUCUGUGGUCCACUCGCUGUUGUUCUCGAUCCAUGAGUCGGAGCUUCAGGCUUUCAUAAGAGGUCAAUGUACUGGCAGUUGCAUCCGUCAUUUACUUGUGAAGCUCUUGAGAUACUCUGGAUAUGAUGCAGCAGUUUGCAUAUCCAAAUGGCAGGGUUUUGACAAGAUACCUGGAGGUAAUCCACUCGAUGAAUGCUUACUGAUACUCUGUUUUUCUCUAUAAAUUGUGCUUGGUAACUAACAGGUUUUUUUAUUCCAAUUCAGGUGAUCACGAGUACAUUGAUGUCCUAAUGAACUGUGAUAUGAUGGGUCCAGAGCGUAUGAUCAUUGAUAUCGACUUCAGGAGCCACUUUGAAAUAGCAAGAGCAGUGGAUUCGUAUGGCACUCUGUUGGACUCGCUUCCAGUGGUCUAUGUUGGUACCCUUCCCAGGCUGAAGCAGUUCCUUCAUGUGAUGGUAGAUGCUGCGAAAUGGUCCCUGAAGCAGAACUCUAUGCCCCUGCCUCCAUGGAGGUCCUUGUCUUAUCUCCAAGCGAAAUGGCACUCUAAGUAUGAGAGGAAAUACUUACACUCUGAGCAAAACUUCCAAGGCACAGCCCCAGAUCACGCGCUCUGUGUUGGGCAUCUGAAGAGGCUGAAAUCAUCCCUGCAGUCAGAACUUGAUACCGGGAGAUUGCUCAUGAUGCCGAUCAAGACUGACACGACGAGGAGGGGAAAGUUUGAGAGGCGUCGGCGUUCCCUGCUCAGUUUCUGAUACAUAUCUGAACUUCUGGACACGGAAGAAUUUUUGAAAGAACAAAAGAGUAGCGAAAGGAGAGGAUUUGUUUUACAGGCUUUUGGACAGUUUAUGGGAAUUAGAUGAUGGGACACUAACAUGGCAGGAGAGUGGAGAUAAGAUGACAUGCCAGGUUUUUUUGAAGGCAUAUAUACAAAAAAAUACACAAAUUAUUUUUUGAUUUCAUUUUUGUUUUGUUUGGCGAAAGAUGGAUGCUAGUGAUGAAACCGCUGGCAUACAAGUGUACAACUGAGCGUUGUUACAAGUUUCCCCCCUCACAUUGAGUUUUGAUCAUACAGAUGUUCUCCAAUCUUUCUUGUAUUUUGAAACCCACGACCGAUACAUGCUGUUGGUUGGUCCCCCCUUUUUGUAACCGUGGCAAUGCGUAAACUUGAGUCGAUGUGUGUUUUGAAAUGAAGAAAUAUACUACUCCUACUAUGCUUUGCUUUAUUUGGUUCUGCACAAUAUGGUCAGUUAUAGUUUGAAAGACUGUUGUGGCUCGUGGGUUAAUGUAUCUUGAGGCAUUCUUUAAGCCUUUUUCAACCUCCAUAAAAGCUUGCGAUUUGAAAAAUGCGAGAAUCUUUCGAUGAGAAAGAAGUUGCACUGUGCGCGUUUUACAAACAAAAAAGGGAAAAGGUAAAGAAAGGGAAGAUUUGCGAGGAAAGAAAGGAACAUGAUGCACUUAGAAAAGAGCUGCAUACAAAUGGCAAAGACAAAGCUUGAUUCCCCUCCUUUUUUUUCCAGGCUGCUUUGCUUUGUCUAAUGAUCAUGAUGUUGUUGUCCAUUUGUUUUGUUUUCCGUUGAUCAAGUGGGCGCUCGGGCAGACAAAUCAUCAGUGAUGUAAGACGCGAAAUCGAGCUGGAUUAAACAAGUCGCUUUGUUUUUUUGCGAGGAAUAGAUUAAACAAGUUGCUGCUAGCCUCGGUUUGCAUGUCCAGACUGUCUGCCGGUGUUUGAGCUUUGUUUUCGCAAAGAGAAUUCUGCUUGGAUUCUGAGGAACUCACGAUGCAGGCGUGUGUGUGUUGGGCUGUGCAAAACAAUUGACCCAGCAGGAGUUGCUUCUUGCAAGCAUGAUUUCUGUAUGCUGAUGUGAGCAGUAAAUUAAGCAGGGUGGAGGAUUAAAUUGUGGAAAGCAUAAAGGAUCACUCCAUGACAGGCACGAAUAGAAAAAAACAGACUGGGGUGAGAGAGGCUCGAACUCUCGACCUCAGGAUCACUCAAUUUAGCUAUGAGACCUACGCGCUAGCCAACUGCGCCACCACCCCUAGUUGCUUACAAGGCAGUAUCUUACGUCUAUAUAAAUUGUUUAACAUUUUUAUUACAAAAAAUUGGUAGCCAUCCAUUUGGUCUGCUCAGAUUAUUCUCCAAAUUGCUAGAACAUUAUCAUAAUUCCCACACAUUUGGUUUUUGCAUACUAGGACAAAUUACUUACUUUCAGAUCAUUGUUUGCUCUCUCUUAUGCUUUCCAGAAUUUAGUCCUCCACCCUGCUUAUUUCUAGGACAAAUUAAUUACUUUGAGAUCAUUGUUUGCUCUCUCUUGUUCAGGAUAUAGUUACUUUGAGAUCAUUGUUAAUUUAGCACAAAAUUGGGUUUUUGCAUACUAGGACAAAAUAAUAUUUCUAAAAUUUGCUGGCCAUAAGCUAGCAUGCAACCACUCCAACCCAACCCAUCUACCGUCCUCCAACCAAACACAUCCAAGGUCUUGAGAGCCAAGUUUGUUGGGUUGUUCAAAGAAAAUUAAGUAGGAAGUGAAAGCCACUAGGAAUAAGGUUUAAUCACAUAUGAGAAAAUGACCACCAUAUAUUUUGAAUAAAAGAGAAAACGUGCACGACUGUGAUGAUUAAGAAACUAGCAAACACUAGAUCCAGAAAUGCAUCUUACACCCAAUGGGGAAACUAUUUUAUUUUCCUCUCAAGGGAAGCGACACGAGCUUUGCCUAUUCAUUAAGAAGAAAAAAAGGUCAACCAGUUUACGAGAAAAGAAUGGACAAAAAACCAAACUAGGCUCAGUUAAUUAUUCGCGAAAACUACAACCCAACUGAGCACUACAACCAUCGACACCGUACAAGACAGAGAGUCAGAACUCGAGGGAAGCGAAUGUAUAGGCUUCUCGGACUGCAUAUCUUUAUUGUUUAGUUUUCAUUGAUAAUGCAAACAGUCAACUUUACAGACUAGUUGUUGUGCUUUGCUAGAGGAACCUGCCACAUGCAACUAUUUUCUCAAAGAAUAAUGGGAUUGUUCAGCACAAACUAGAGCCAACCUUCCUGUAUAUGGUUUUGGAAAACCAUAUUGAUAACAAAAUGGUUUCGUGGUGUAGUUGGUUAUCACGUCAGUCUAACACACUGAAGGUCUCCGGUUCAAACCCGGGCGAAGCCAAAUUUGUUUUAAAUUUUUGUCUCUGAAAAAUAAUUUUUAAAAAAAAAAACUGGCCCAUGCAGGUCUCGAACCUGCGACCUUCGCGUUAUUAGCACGACGCUCUAACCAGCUGAGCUAAUGGGCCAAUUCUUGCUUACGGUUUUUACACAAACUUAUUUAAACUUUAGGUUUAAUCUGAAAAAAGCGUGUCGAAAUUGUAAGACUUUACUAGUUUCUUGCCCUCCUGAAAGUGGAUUUGAUGAUGAUGUGACAAACGUAUAUAUGCACUAUCUAUCAAGACGGCAUCUCUCCAGCCUGUCGUGUAUAUAUGCAGUUAGCGACCGGGCAGGGUAAAGGAUGAGAUAUCUCUUUCGAAUUUUGCAACCAAAUCUUACUCCUUGUUGCAUGUAUUAGGCGAGGACAUUAUAUCUCCAUGAAAAAAAAACACGUCUUUACCCUAUAUAUCACUCUCUUCUCUACCCGAUGAAAAGACGAGAGAACAUGUCCAACUAUACAUGACAAUUGUUGCUAAAAUGCGCGAGGAUAGAUUUUUGGUGACAUAGAAGAGAGAUGGAGAGAAAAAAAAGAAGAUAGAUGGAAAAAAAAGAGUGUGGCUGUUACUCUAGAGAGUACCUACCAUGUGUCAAUUAACAAUUUUGUAGAGUUUUUUGGAACGGGGUGAUCGUGAAACAGUCUAUUAGAGAGGUUUGUUUUUUAAAUGGAGGGAAAAACUUUGCUCGUCUCUUAUGGAUCAAGGAGUUAACAAACAACACACAAGACAACGAACAAGAGUAACAAGCCCUUACAUACAAGUAGUCCAAUAAAUCUCGUGGCACGAUGGAUCUUUGCAAGGUGGUUACUUAUUUGCACGGAUGUGUUCUUCCCUUCUCUUCUUAGUAACAACCUAGCUAGGCUAGGCUCUGAUUACCUGUCAAAAGAUAGAAAAAAAGCUAUGCUCUGAUAAAAUCAGUGAUAUUUAUCUGCACACAGGUCAUAGUCACUUUUGCAAUAAGAAAUAAAGUCAAGAGUUGCAUAGCCAUAGACCGAGCUUUCCACAGGGGGAACAAGAAUUGGCACUAUAUAAACCGGCACGCCAUAUAUACCCACCCACUUCCCUCUAUCAUGCACCUUUAUGCAUUUGUGCUUUCCUCAGAAAAGCAACGGCUGUUCAUGAUAUUACUCCGCCACAUUUACGUGCUCUCUUCAUAUUAAACUUUCGGAUGGAAAUUAACUGUACCUAAUUUGAAGCUUCACAGAAUUAUGAGGAAAGUCUCGCAUGCGUGUCCAUGGGUAUUUGCAAAGUUUCAUGAAAAAAUAAAUUACAAAAUAAAUCUCAAAUUAAAUUUAACAAGUGUCUAAGUGAUAUUUUCUUGAAAAUACAAAGCAAGAGAAAUAUUGUAUCCAGUGAUAACAAUAUAAUAUCAUGUACUCCCUACUGGGUUUCGCUAAAACCAAACAAACUUUGCCCCUGGCCACUGCAAGGUUUUUCUCAAUGACAUGGCGAUGAAUAAAUAAAUAACAGAUCCAUUUUUUAUUUUUUCAGCUCGUCUAGUUAGUUAAUAAUGCAUUCCAUUUUUUUUUUGCAUUCCUAGAUGACUAGAUCUUUCCUCCGUUGACUUGGAUUGUAAACAAGUAGUCACGAUUAUUUAUUCGAAAAGGAGGUUAAGUUGUCCCAAAUAAUAUAUGCUUGAAUUUUCUUCUUACAAUACCACGAGUUCCUUGCAAGAAAGAAACAAAAGGUAUGAUAGAAAGAAAGUGAAUCAAUCAAUCAAUUAGGUGAGCAUCGCACAGGGGCGCGGCCCCUAUCCUAUCCUUGUUAUUCCUCUUCCCCAAGCAGUGGUCCCUCUGUUGCCCACGUCCAUUCUUUGCCAAAGUGCAGCAUCUCAUGUCGUCUCCAUCCAUCUCUCUCAGCCUUCUCCUUCUUCUUCUUCUUCUUCCUGAUCGAUUGGCUAUAAAUAGCCCUGGCUGCCUUGCCAUUGUUCCUCAAGCCAGCAAGAAGCACACACAAGCCUAGAAGCCUUCAGCUUAAUCUUCUUCCUAAGCAAGUUCGAGCACUCGACCGAAGAUGUCUUGCUGCGGAGGAAACUGCAACUGCGGGUCAUCCUGCAAGUGCGGCAGCGGCUGCAACGGCUGCAACAUGUACCCUGAAGCCGAGGUCCAGACCUCCAGCCUCCUCGUCGUCGCCACCGCCGCCCACAAGGCGUACGUCAUUCAUUUAGAUCAUAUAUACUACUCCAUCCGAUACAUAAUAAGCGUCGCUGAUUUAUUAUUACAAUUGUCGUCAUGGAUGGUCUUAUAAAGUUUGGUUGUUGGAACAUAUGUGCAGGAGCUCCGGCGGGAUGGAGAUGGCCGCGGAGAACGGCGGCUGCGGCUGCAGCACCUGCAAGUGCGGCACCAGCUGCGGCUGCUCAUGCUGCAGCUGCUAGAUCUCAAUCUGCUGCAGCAGCUUAAUUUGCAUGCCAGGGACGCAUGCAACGACCAU